AGCUCAGGCUGCAGUUCUGUUUGUUCCCUUUUUUAUUUUUUUCAUAGGACUACUGUUGAGGUUUUGUCAUGGAGAUACAUAGAUACACCCCCAACGACAAUAGAUGGUAGACAUGAGUUUUUUUACUCAACUGAAAUCUUUGGGCAACCUUCCUUUUCAGACCAAAGGAAAAAGAAACCCAAAAUGGUGACCAAUUUUUCCCCUUUUUCCUUUUUAUUCUUAAGCUAUGGGAUUGUAUUUUGUGAGAUUUUAUCAAUAAGAAUUUUAAUUAAAUAAAAAUCUUCUUUUCUUACUGUGUUCGAGGAAAAACAUUAGUCUCCUUUUUUUCUGAACCCCAAUAAAUCACAUUGAGAGAUGUGGAACCCAUGAUUAGAGGUGUCUAAUGGCCCAGCACGGCCCGAUAUUGACCGGGCCAUUAUGGGCCAAUGUGCCGGGCCAGCACGGCCUACUUAAAAAUCGUGCUAUGAAAUUUAAGGGCUGUGGGACGACAUGGUGGAGAAGGGGUGUGUUCCUAAUGCUUUUACUUAUAACAUGUUGAUUAAGGGCUUUUGUAAUGUCGGUAAUGCAAGGGAGGGAAUUAGAGUCAUGGAGGAGAUGUUGGAUAAUGGGUGUUUGCCGAAUAAGGCAACAUAUGCUAUUUAGUUUUCAGAUUACUAAUAUUGAAAAUUGCCCAAAUAGGAUCAGUUGUGAAGUUCUUUUUCUUUGUUGUCAUGGAGAAACCAGGCAAGCAGAAGCACUUGGUGGAUCAGUUGAAGAUGUCGGUAAAAGCAAAGAUGAUAAUGGUGGAUGAACUCUUGGAUGAAUUCGGAAGGAUUCGAGGAGUUGGGGGAGUAGUAAUAGAGUUGUUUGGGGUUUGUUCGUAACAAGAAUGGAAGAAGAAGAUACCAGUUUGAGAUUCGCCAAAUGGGUGAUAACUACUAAUGACUUCUAAGGAGCUGAAAGCUCUUUUUAAAUCUUAAUAAAAACUUCUAUGUUUAUGUUCAAAAUAGCUUAAUAUAGAAGCCAAAAAAAUAUUAGUUCUUUGUAAAAACUCAAUUUUGACUUCUACAAAAAUUUGUUUUAUAUUUAAUAAAAUUUUUAAAAAAAUUAUGAUUUUGGCUUAAACUUGGACUUAUUAUUCAAGCUUCAUCUUCACUGAAAACUUCAUCCUCAGAUUUUGAAUGUGAUCCAUGAUCUAUCCUCCACAAUGAACUCAUAACUCAUGAAUGUGGCCUCCUUAAUAUAUCCAACCACCUUUCCCCACAAUUGGGUGGGUGAUUUAAAUCCGAUGUUCUUAAAACUAUUUUUAGUUUAUUUGAAUAAAAUUUUGUUUAAAAAAUCAAUAGAUAAAUUAAAAUUUUGAUUUAUUAUUAAAUCUACAAUAUUUUUGUCUUAUAUAUAUAUAUAUAUAAUUGUUUUUUAAAGUAAUUAUAAAAUAUAUCCUAAAAAAAAAGCUUUGAGAGCGUUUGAAAGAGAUUUUGAGAGGUUGACAUUUACAAAAAUGGGAUGUUUAGUAAAUUUUUAAAAAUUAUUUUUAAAAUUUUGGAGAAAUUUUGGAUAAAUGAUUCUUUUUUUAAAAAAAAAAAAAACCCUUUUGUAAAUUAAAGAUAUAUCUUUUUAAAAUAUGUAAAUAAUUUUUUGAAAUUUUGUUAUUUUUAUUUAUAUUCGGAUAACAAGUGAUGAUUCAAGCUCAAAAUCCUCCUCAAAUUGCCUUUAAUAAAAAUGCUUUUAGCAUAAAUUCUGCCAAAACCAUGGCUAUCAAAAGGUUGAAAUAGGUGUAGUGAACGUUUUGUUUUCCUUAUCCCAUUUUUACUGUAUUUUCUAGGCAGCCAAACGAAGGAUAUGGAUGAAAUUGAUAUGUUUGGAAGGUAAAUAUUAAAAGGAAAUGGAGAAAUCCAACAUGCCACGUGUCGCACUUUUUGAACACAAGCAACGAAUAAACAAUCCAAGCCGUUAAUUUCUAAAUCAACGGCCCAAAUCCACUCGAUGACACCAUUAACCACUUUCCCCACAUUUUCAUUGCUCCACACACCUCUCACCGGCAAUUGCCCGUAGCACCAACCCCUCUCUCCCCCACACAACCCAAAUCUCCGCCCAACUCUCCAACCGCCUCAGCCAGUCACCGGUGUGCACCCCCUUACCACUCACUCCCUCUGUCUCUAUAUAUAUAUACAGUGACAGCUUCUUCUCGUUCUAGGGUUCGCCCACUGUAUCGAUACGCACUUUCUCUCUCUGGAUUUUUAUUUUAUUUUUAUUUUUUCCCUCUGAGAGUCCAAGCAAUUUUCUCGCUAGCCAAACGGUGGAUUCCGAGAUUGCGAGGUGUUUUAUUGGUUGAUCUGUCUGUUUUCCUAUAAAUUUUUUAGGUUUCAAGGUGGUUUGGUUGGAUCGGAGUGAGAUUUGAUUGGUGCAAACCAUGUUUUUACUCGAUUGGUUCUAUGGAGUUCUAGCAUCGCUUGGUUUAUGGCAGAAGGAGGCCAAGAUCUUGUUUCUAGGGCUGGAUAAUGCCGGAAAGACGACUUUGCUUCAUAUGUUGAAAGAUGAGGUUCGUUGCAAUGCAUUUUGUUGAUUUCAUUAUGUUUUCUAGUUGGCUUCUCUGUUUGGUUUCUGGGAGAAGAUAGGAAAAGGAAAGGUAUUACUGUUUAGAGCUUAGAUUUUGGUAGCGUGCUUUGUUGAUAAAUCUGGUUUUCUUGUUUUCAAUGCUCCGUUUGUUUGCUGGUAAAAGAAAGGAAAAAAGGAAGAAAAAAAAAAUCCACUACACAUAGCCUAUUACGAUUAGCUGGCUUAGUUGAGGUGACUUUUUUCCAAUCUUUGGAAACCAACCAAUGUCAAAAGUAUUUUUUAAAGAACGAUUCGAAUUCCUUUUUCUUUUCGCCAUUUCGAGGAGUGGAUGAUUUUUUGUUUUAUGUUUGUUUGGUUAAUUGGUGUUGGCAUUGGAGUUUUGCAGAGAUUAGUUCAGCACCAGCCGACCCAGUACCCAACAUCAGAAGAGUUGAGUAUUGGGAAAAUCAAGUUUAAGGCAUUCGAUUUGGGAGGGCAUCAGAUUGCUCGCAGAGUUUGGAAGGAUUACUAUGCAAAGGUAGAUCUCUCUUUCCAUAUCUAUAUUAGAAUGAAGUCAUUAUAUGAUUCUUAUUUGUUCAGUAGCAAGCUUUGUUUUACAGUUUUGGAUGUAGGAAACCUAUGAUAAAUUACAAAGGUUUUCAGUGGUUGGAUGAUUGGCGUAGUAUUUGGUGUUGGUGGUGGCAGGACAAAACAAUUUGUAUCAUGUCCCUGUCUCUCAUCCCUAUUCUUGAAAUGGCCUUGCCGUUUGUGUUCUACCACUAGAAUGAAUUAGAUAUUCUUUUUCUUUUUUGUUGAGAAUCUUUCCUAAGUCGAUCCAAUUGUUGAUUGGCUUUUCUGCCGUCUGCAUAUCCUUAAAUUUCUGGAUAUUUGUAUGCCUUCAGUAUUCCCAGAUAAAGAUAAAUGAUCACUGUAUUUAUUUGUUUAAUGGAGGCAGACAUCAAAGAUGGGAUUUGGCUGACAGUGUCUUUUGUUGUCCAGGAGUUGCUAGAACACGUCCUCAUAUACAGCCAUAAUCUAUAUAGUUUUCUUUACAUACUUUUCCUUAACCUCAUGCCUUGACCUUCCUGGCAAAAUCCAACUGUUUAUGGGCGUUUAUUGCUGCCUACACAUCCUCAAAUUGCAAAAUAUGUUUUUGCCUUCAUAAUCGCAGAUAAAUUUUUUUUUGUGUUUAUUUGAUUCAUGGGAGGCAUACAUCAAUAAUGGGAGUUUGCUGAUGGCACCUUUGUAGUCAAGAGGGUGCUCUAAUAGUACCUCACUGUACAUUUUAAUCUAUCAAAUUGCAAAAUAUUUGUUUGCCUUCAUAAUCCCAGAUAAAUGUUUUAUGUGUUUAUUUGAUUCAUGGGAGGCAUACAUUAAUAAUGGGAGUUCCGCUGAUGGAACCUUCCGUAAUCAAGAGGGUUCUCUAAUAGUGCCUCACUGUACAUUUUAUUCUACACCCUUUUUCUUAAUCCCACUCUAUGCCAUUGCUUUUAAAAUUCAUAUGUUUAUGGGCUCUUUCUGCCAUCUACAUGUUCUUGAAUUGAGGAUUUGUUUGCCUUCAUAAUCCCAGAUAAACAGUUUACAUUUAUUUGAUUCAUGGGAGGCAGAAAUUGAUAAUGGUAGUUCGCUGUGGCACCUUUUGUUUCCCAGGAGGUGCUCUAAUAGUACCUCACCGUACAUUCUUAAUUUAUUUUAUUUUUUCCUGCCCAUUUCCUUAAUCUUAUGCCAUGUCAUCACCUUUAGAAUCCAUCUGUUUGAUUAAUGGGAAGCAGAGACAUCAAUAGUGAGAGUCUGAUGGCACCUUUGUUUUCCAGGAGGCACUCUAAUAAGUGCCUUUUGCCGCACAUUCUCAAUCUAUUUUGUUUUUACCCCACCAGUUCCCUCAAAUCUUAUGCUAUCCCAUUGCUGUUAUGAUCUAUCUGUUUACGGGCAUCUCUAUUGCUGUAUAUAGGUCCUUAAAUUACAGGAUACUUGUUUGCCUUCAUAAUCCCAGAUAAACUACUUAUGUGUUUAUUUGAUUCAUGGGAGGCAGAUAUCAAUUAUGGGAGUUCGCUGAUGGCGCCUUUUUUUCCUAGAAGGUGCUUUAAUAGUACCUCACCUUACAUUCUUUCCUUGCGAUUUAUACACGAGACCAUCUGGAUCAUCACAUUACCAUGCUAAUAACUUAGUCAAACCUAAUUGGUUGGCAACCCUUCUCAUGAAUGCUUAAUCCCUAGUCCACAGUUUCUUAGACUCUGUUUGAUUGCAACUGCAUUUUUUUAUAUUCUAUGGUAGGAUAAUUUGAUCAGGCCAGUGAAACAUGAGAUAAUGCAAGUGCCCAUUUGUUUUAAUCAUCAUGAAAUUUCUGUUCAUGAAGGUGGAUGCAGUUGUUUACCUGGUGGAUGCCUAUGACAAGGAGAGAUUUGCAGAGUCGAAAAAAGAGCUGGAUGCUCUCCUCUCCGACGAGGCCUUGGCCCAAUGUUCCAUUCCUUGUUCUGGGCAACAAGAUCGAUAUCCCAUACGCUGCCUCAGAAGAUGAGCUGCGUUACCACCUGGGUCUAACAAACUUCACCACAGGCAAGGGAAAGGUAAGCCUGGCUGACUCAAAUGUCCGGCCCCUUGAGGUAUUCAUGUGCAGCAUCGUCCGCAAAAUGGGUUAUGGAGAUGGCUUCAAGUGGCUCUCCCAGUACAUCAAGUAGAGCACAACAGGAUGUAAGAUUUGGCUCAUCUUAAACUUUAUUACUAAACCAAAGCUGGACAUGUGUCUGUUUGAAAUCACUAUUGCAAAUAUUUCACUUAUUUUACAUGUUUUUGUUAUUUUUUUUCUUGGUGGUGAAUGACAGACAUGCUCUCCAUGCCCACAGUGAAAUUUUCAGAUUUGUUGUCUGAUGUUAAUACAGAGUUGGAGAGGGAGUUGUUUGUUGUGGGUUGGUUGUUAUUAUUACAAAGUAUGAAUCAAUUGUUUACUAUCACUGCCUUCACAAAUUGUAACCAAUUUUGUGAUAGAAUGCUCCCCUGCUUAAAGGAAAACUGGAAGGGUCGAUACAUGAUCCGACUACUUCAUCAUAAAGGAAAGGCUGUUUCCACUAUACUUGCUUGUAUUCAAAUCAAUUCCCAUGUAUAAUUCCAUCUCUCUUCUGCAACUGCAGUUUUUGUUAGACUUGUUUCGAUAUUGUUUAGGGAAGAUAUAAAAAUUGAGAUUAAAAUACCAAAAAAGGGGAUGUAUAGAGAUUAUUUUUGUCGCAUGGGUUUGAAAGAUACAAGGAAAUGAAACUGAGAGGCAGAUAGAUGUGAUUUAAGUGCUAUUACUAUCAGUAAUAGCUGUUAAGAAAUGCUUAAAUGCCAGAACUGUCAGUAACAGCUUCUGUUGCUUCUACAAGCUUUCAAGCAGCCUUGGGGAGAUGGUCGGGCAAUUCCAUAUGUACCAUAUCAAUAUCACCAAUAUCUUCUUGCCAGUUGCCACAAUGAUCAGAUGCUACACGUGGAGGAGCUUGAUUUGUCGUCCAUGGUGCUCAUGCAUGAAGUUUGGACCCGGAAUGUGAAAUCAAUUAUAUUUUUAUUAUUAUUUUUUAUAAUAAGAAUCGAAAUAUUUGUUAAAUAGAAAUCAAGCCUCACAACUAAGGUUACAAUUAUUUUUUUAAAACAGAUUUUUAUUCUAGAAAAAAAUAAUAUUUUUAGAGAAUAUUUUUUAAUUAUUUUUACUUAUUUUUUAAAAAAUACUUUAGAUAAUAUUUAUAUAAAUAUUAAAAAUAAUGAAAAAUAAAAUACCACAGUUGAAGUUAUUAUUAAAUCAUAUUUAAAAAUAUAGAAAAUAAGUUAAUUAUGCUUUAAUAACCAUUUUUAAGAAACACUUGUCACAUAAAAUCUAAGAUUUUGAUUUCUCACCUUCUGAAUAUCUAUUAUUAUUCCUAUUCCCACCUUCAAAACACACAUCCCUAUAGUCAAAUGGAGAGAUAGAAAGGGACAGGAAUCAACUUUUUCUUUUGGACUAAGAACCCUUCUUUCUUUCUUUGGACUUAGGCAAACAUUCCCUCUUAACCCCUUUCUCUUUUGAAGCUCAACACCUCAUCAUCAACCCAACCUAUGCCAUCCAAAAGGCUAGCUACACUUUUCACUCUUUGGCUCUAUCCAUGAAUUAUCUAGUAAUAGGUCUUUCACAAUGAGAUCUAUCGGUAACGGUAUUUAAUUAUGAAGGUUAGUUAAGUAGUUAACCCUAUUAGUCCGUUCUUGCAAGAGUGGUGGGAGCCUAAUCUUUCUAUCGAUUUUCCCUACUUAAUGGAUAACCCUUUUGCCAAUGGAGAAUUGCUUAUUAUCUUAAUUGCAUGCAGUUAUUGAUAGAUAGAAGAAUCAUGGUAUGCACUUUUGUGUAUUAACUAAAGCCUUACGUGUGUCUGGAGGAGAUCAUAUUCAUGUUGGUACCGUAGUAGGUAAACUUGAAGGAGAAAAAGAGAUCACUUUGGGCUUUGUUGAUUUAUUACGUGAUGAUUUUGUUGAAAAAAACCGAAGUUGUGGUAUUUAUUUCACUCAAGAUUGGGUUUCUCUACCAGGUGUUCUACCAAUGGCUUUUGAGGGUAUUCACGUUUGGCAUAUACCUACUCUGACCAAGAUCUUUGGAGAUGAUUCCGUACUAUAGUUCGGUGGAGGAACUUUAGGACACCCUUGGGGGCAAAACCCAUUAGAAGAAAUGACAAAGUCUAGGCUUCACUUCUAACACAGUAGGAAGAGUUUCAAAGCAAACCACGGUUUGGUGGCCCCCUCAACCACUUCACACCAACUUCACUCUUCCUUAAAACUCCAUUUGUCCCCAACUAUUGUCUCCAAAAAGGGGUUCAAACACUUUGUAUAUAUAUAUAUAGACAUAUAAUCAGAUGAUAUCAACCCCUUACUCAUCAGUCAAUCUCUCAGAGCUUCUGCAAUGGCAAUCUCAAGCCUCCCAAUACAUCGAUUCUUCAUCAUCCCCCUCAUCUCCUUUGCUCUAUUUUGCUUCUACUCGGGUCAUCAUAAUGGCUUUGUAUCUAUGCUCAUGUUUGGAAACGUCUUCAAAGAUUGUUCUAAAAAAAAACGAUUUCAAAAACAGUUCUUGAAAACAGUUCUCAUUUUCUGCCAUCAACUCAAAUUUUGAAAAACAGUUUAUUGGUUUAUUCUUGAAUGCAAAAGGUUCAAAUAUUCUCCAUAUGUUCAAUUAAAAGCACUUGAAGUUUGUUCUCAAAAAGCAAUUUUAUGCCAAAAGUCUAUCAAGAACAUGUUUUUUAGAACAGUUAUCAAAGAGGGCUACUACAAUUUUAUCCCAUUAAUGUUUGGAUAUAUCUCCAUGAACAGGAUAUGCAGAGGACCCUGCCAGGAUGUUUGAGAAAGCCCUGUUGUGUUUCAACAAUAAGCUGGUGAGCGACACAUAAUGAGCUGAUUCAUUGUCCAAUUUCAGAAAAACCCUAAAAGAAAAACAUUCAUGAAUCAAAUCCCAUAGACAGAAUCUACUUAAAAGUAUGAGUCUUCUAUUUUCUUUGUUGGUUGUGGGAUUUAGAUUUACAGUGGCUGUGAUGAAGAAUAUAGGCUGAACGAGAGUGGAAAUAUCAAUGUUCCUCCACAAAUUACAGACCAAUUCUGCAAUGGACCAUGCCUUGCUGAGACCCAACUGCUGCUCAACUGCAUCAACAACAUAUUUUCCGGUUUCCUGUUUGAUAAUAAGGCCAGCGUCCAAGCCAUCAGUGAUACAAUCCGGGCCGGAUGCAGCUUCAGUAGACAAAGGGGUAGUUUAUAAUUAGCCUAACACCAUAAUAACUGCAACCAACUAUGCAUAUAUAUGAAGUCCUUCUGAAUUUGUGUCUUGCUUUUUGUUUAGGUAACUUCAAUGUAGCACAAUACACAAGCCCUGCUCCAAGGAUUACCAUUAGUAUGAGCUUUUAUAGUUGGAUUGUUUUUGGGUUUUGUUUGCUUUUGAUAUAAGGAGAUGGAACAUAGAAUUUGAUUUAACGCAUCAGUAUGGGAGACAUGCUUAAAGGUAAUGAAUUUAUAUGAGCCUCUAUGAUUGGAUUACUAUUGGGUUUUCUUUGUUAUUAAAGUAAGGAGAUGGAAGAGUAUAGGGGAAUUUUGUGCUGCAGAUUUGGCUUCUCUUAUUGUGAGUUUAGACGUGGGAGAGAGAGAGAGAGAGACCUUUAAUAUUUCAUAUUAAUAUACUAUUAAGCCCCAGAGCUAAACCAGAGCAGAAAGCAAAAAACAACCUAGGCUUCAACCAUUAUUCAAAUCUUGAAGGCACUCUUCACUUGAAUUAGCAACAGUCAGACCCAACAUUGACCUUCACAGAUUCUUCCUUCUUCACAGGAACAUUAACCUUCUCCUCAGUCUUAGGAGACUUCAUCAUGACAGUUUCACAAGUCCCCUUUGCAGGUUCAGCACCUUCUUUCUUGGUGACUUGAGGUUUCUCUCUCUGACCCAAUAAAAACAUCCCAUAUAGGAAUGCAAAAGAAAGAAGAACAAAACAAAGAAUGAUUUUCUAGUAUUUCUAACCCCAUACGAUGAGAUUUAAUGAGCUGAUGAAAGGAAUUCAGGGAAGAGGAACUGGGUCUUGGCUUUCCAAUGAGAAAACUAGAAAUAUCGGGCUCAGAAAAUGUUUGAAGUCAUAUAAUCUUGUGGUUUAACUGACUCCUUGGAAUUCCAGUUCUCAUUGGAAAUGAAGUUGAGUUUAAUAUCAAAUUCAAAUCACAUUUUUAUGGGCAAAAUGCAAAUACAGUAUAUUUAUUAAUCAAUUAUCGAAAAGUCACCAUCAAUCAAGUGAUGUUAGGUCCACAUUUUCUUAGUUUUUAUCAAUAUCCAAUCAUGUCACAUAUCUAUGAUGAUAAAGAUUUUGGAAAAGAAAAAAAAGUUGUAAAUUUAAAAGAAAAUUACAAAAUAUGUCAUUGAGGUUGAGUGUACCAAUUGGCAAUUUGAUGAAUUUUGUAAUUUUUAUGGUUUUUUUGUAUUUCCCUAAAGCCUCAAUGUGAAAACAUGACCCAUUGAUUUGGUCCACCUUACUCUAUACCGAUUGAAAUGGAGAUGAAUCCAAAUUCUCCUGAGAGAUUUGUCUUUAAUAAGAUAAUUUGAAUGGAGUGAGGAAAAACAUCUGCAUAAUUUUAUAUUUAUUUAUUUAUUUAUUUUUGGCUUUUUGUUUUCUUUUUGUAUGAGAGAGAGAGAGAGAGAGAGAGAGAGAGAGUUAACAGAGCUUAAAACCCUUGAUAUUUCAUAUUCAUAACUAUUAAGUACCAGAGCUAAAACAGAGCAGAAAGCAAAAAACAACCUAGACUUCAACCAUUAUUCAAAUCUUCAAGGCACUCUUCACUUGAAUCCGCAACAGCCAGACCCAACAUUAACCUUCACAGAUUCUUCCUUCUUCACAGGAACACUAAGCUUCUCCUCAAUCUUAGGAGACUUCAUCAGACCAGUUCCACAAGUCCCCUUUGCAGGUUCAGCAUCUUCUUUCUUUGGGACUUGAGGUUUCUCAUCUUCCUUUUUUUGGGUCACCACAGUGGUCUGGCAGCCAUAGUUCAUUGAAGAACAGCAAGGUUUCCUCUCCAUCUUCUCUUGUUAAUAGCUGAAACCUUUAUAGAUAUUAUGGGUUGGAUAUGAGAUGGAAGUAAGAUAUCAAGUAUUUAUAAAAGCGUGAAAGCCUAAUUGUAUUCUGGUUAAGGUAGAGAAUAAUUACAAUGUGAAUAAAUGUCUUUCCAUGAUCCCAAUUCACCAAGAAAUGAAUGCAAAUUCCACCUUGAAACUUCAACUACCCCAUCUGCUCUCUCUCUCUCUGCGACCCAACAAAAACUUCCCAUAUAGGAAUACAAAACAAAAAACAGAAUGAUUUCUAGUAUUUCUAAACCCCAUCUGAUGAAAUUUAAUGAGAUGAUGAAUGGACUUCACGGAAGUUGAACUGGGUCUUGGCUUUCCAAUGAAGAAAACUAGAAAUCUUGUGCUCAGAAAUGUAUGAAUCAAAUUCGGAAUACGACAAGACAACAGAUUUUUCUGGGGACAAUGAGAAAGAACAGAAACACCUUGUACUACUGCAACUCGAUCAAAAUUACAGGUUCUUCUUUGCAUUACUCUUUCAAUACCAGAGCUCAACGUUUCACCAAGAACAAGUACUUAAAUUAGUCUUGUCCACUUAGCCAACCAUUCUCUGUCCAUGGUUUUUCCCCAUAUUUUUUCCACUGAAUGCUCCAAUUUACGUACUCAAUUGUUUGUAUGCUCUGCCAAACAAAACAAAAAAAAAAAAAAUUGAAUGAUUUUCAUUUCCUCGUUGUUAGUGAAGAAACAUGAAGUGUUGCACAUUAUAACUGGCCAAUAUGAAGUCUAAAUUAAAUAGGUUACUUACAAACAAGACUUUCCCUCUCGUCUGAAAACCAAGCCCUGCUCCAAGGAUCUCCAUUUGUAUGAGCUUGUAUGGUUGGAUUGUUUUCGGGUUUUGUUUGUUAUUGAUAUGAGAAGAUGGAACACAUACUACACCAGCAUAGAAGAAAAGCUCAGGGUUCUGCAUUUUUAUGAGCUUCUAUGUUUGGAUUACUGUGGGGUUUUCAGGGCUCUAUCCUAACACCAUGCUCUGUCCGGGAUUUUUCCUGAUAUUUUUUUCUUUCAUCAAUGCUCUUACCUUCUCAACUUCAUCCCAUUUCCCGUCUUCUGCAUAUACAUUUGACAACAACACAUAAUUUCCCGAAUUCCAUGGUUCAAGCUCAAUAAGCUCCUUGACUGCACAUUCUGCAUGCUUUACGUCGCCAAUAGUACGAUAAGCACUGAGCAAUGAACCCCAUAAGACAGCAUUUGGCCUCAUCGGCAUGGUUCUAACCAAAUCACGAGCCUCCUCCAUGCAUCCAUUACGUGCUAGAAGAUCAACCAUGCAUCCAAAAUGCUCAAGUUUUGGCUCCAUUUUAUGAUCUACUGUCAUUGAAGUAAACAAAUUCCGACCUCUUUCAACCAAACCAGCAUGAGCACAACAUGAUAAAACCCCAACAAAUGUAGCAUCAUUAGGUCUCACACCUUUGUUUAUCAUCUCCUCGAACAAGUCUGCUCCAAGCUCACCCUUUCCAUUGAAGGUCAGACCCGAUAUCAUGGCAUUCCAAGAAACCACAUUUUUCUGGGGCAUUUCAUUGAAAACCCUCCAAGCAGUUUCCAAAAUUCCACAUUUGCAGUAAAAGUCGACUAACGAAUUUCCCACAGAGAUGAAAUCUCGCAAAAGUCGGCUUGAUUCAGCAUAAGAAUGGAUCCAUUCCCCGACAUCGACAGCCCCCAAACGAGCACAAACAGGCAGAAUUGUGACCACGGUUGCAUCAUCCGGCUCAAAACCAUGAUCCCACAUUUCACGGAAAAGCUCCAAGGCUUCACCAUCACGGCCACUUUGUUCUAAACCAGCGAUCAUGGAGUUCCAAGAAACUACACUCCGGUCCCUCAUCUGCCUAAAGAGACGAAACCCCAUCUCGAUAUCACCCACUUUACAAAACCCACGAAUCAUCAUAUUCCAAACAAUCACAUCUCUAUCAAGCAUUUCAUCAAACACCUUCUUCGCAUCCUCCAUUCUCCCGCAACUCGUGUACAAAUCUAUGAUCCCAAUCCUUAUCGAACUGAAACGUUCAAACCCAACAACAAUCACCACCCCAUGAACUCCUUUCCCAAUUCUGUUAUCACAAAUACCCGAACACGACUUCAGCAAAGGAGCGAAGGUGAAUUCAUCGGGCCAUAUUCCGCGGUUUUUCAUUUGGGAAAAUAAAAGGAGUGAGUUUUCAGACGGCCCACAAAGGGAAUAGCCUUUGAUCAUGGAAUUGAAGAGGAGGAGGUUGGGGUUCUGGGUUUGGUGAAAGACGAGAUUGGCAUAUCCCAUCUUGUCCAAGGCGCCACACACAGAGAUGAAGUGGGAGAGGAUUUGGUUGGAUUGGUGGAGGUGGUGGCGGAGGAUGUGGGCGUGGAUUUGGGGAAGUUGGGUUCGGGUUUUCCGGCCGUGGAGGUGGCGGAGGAUUCGCCGCUCCGCCUCCCUGCACACUCUGCUCAUCUUCUUGCUGUUUGCAGAUGACAAUCUGAUAACGGCUUAGUUACCGAAUUUUGAAAAUAGUGGGUUGGCGGGAAAACCAUGAUUUUACCCUAAUUUAUAAAUUAAUAAUAUAAACAAAAAUAAUUAUGAAAUUUUUAAAAGGAAUAAAAAUUUGCAUCCCACAUCUAGUUUGAGGAAAAAUAUAACGUCCUGUUUGGUAGUCAAUCCAAAAUUAAUUUUUGAAAACCGUUUAUUAAUCCAAAAAAGGAAAUUAUAUUUACUAAAUUUUAAAGAUUCGAAAAACUUGUUUGAUAUAUUUUCAUAUGAAUAGUUUUUAAAAAUUAUGUUCGAAUAGGAAAAUAAUGAAAACAUGCUUGAAAACAUUGGUUAUUUACUGUUAAUUUGUUAUCACCAUGACCAUUGAAGAUCUCGUCACCAAGAAGAUCACAAAGUGAAGAGGAUGUGGGUGAGGGUCGAUGGACCAAACAAUGAAGCCUUUUUAAAAAUGGAUACAAUCUAAAAAUCUGUAUAUAAAAGUGUUUUUGGUAAUAUAUUUCCUCCAGAGUGUUUUUAAUGGAAUUAUUUUCUACAAAAGUGUUUUUGGAAAAAUCUUCAUUAAAUAUUAUAAUUCAUUUUUCAAUAUUAUAAAUGAUUUAUCAAAUUUUUAAAAAUAUUUUUUAAAUUUUAUCAUAUCGUAUUUGACAAUAAUUUUAACAAAUGUUUUUAACUUUUAUAAUAUUUAAAAUUUUUUAUCAUUCAAAUAUUUAAAAUACUAAAAACAUUUUUUAAAAUUAUUAUCAAACACAAUCUUAAAAUACGUUUGAUACUGAUUCUAAAAAAUAUUUUUGACUUUUCUUAAAAUGCACUUAAUAGUGAUUCUAUGAAAUGUUUUUUGUCUUUCUAAUAUUUAUAAAGUCUUAUUUUUUAAGUAUUAGAAAUACUAAAAACACUUUUAAAAAUCACUAUUAAAUGCUCUCUUAAUUUUUUUUGCCAAAAACACUUUUCUUGCUAUAAGCAUGAACCUUGGCGUUUUCCAAAAUGUUUUGACCUUUCCCUACCAAUGAAAAACAUUUUCUAAAAUCACUACCAAACACACUACACUCUACAUUUAGUGUAGUUAAAAACACUGACUACAAUCCGGAAUGCCUUCCAAAUACAGCCAAAGUCUCUUCUUCAAAACCUGAAUAAACCAAAUCCCACUUUCAGUUGCAAGAAGUUCUUUCAAACAAUAUUUAAUACUGACUAGAAGAAAAUCUAUAUAUUUAAUACAUUCUAUUGUCUUUUUUUUUCCACAUCCAAUUACUACAUGUCAUGGAUACUAAAGAAUUUGAAAUAAAAAAUAAAAAUACGCAACUUUGAACAUGAAGCGAAAUUUCAAGAAAUGGCGGAGGCAUUGAUAGAAACUAUUUCACUCUAUCAAUACCCGAGCCCGAGUCGGCUCUGAUGAAUCUAUCACAAGGGAAUUUGUUUUUUUCUAUUCAUUUCUACAGAUUUGAUCGAUGUAAAACCAAACAUUUCCAUUUCUUAUUGUUAGACUGUUAGUGAAGAAACAUGAAGAGUUACACAUUCUAAGAGGCCAAUAUGAAGUCUAAAUUAAAGAUGUUCCUUACAAACAAGACUUUUACCCUCGUCCAAAAACCAAGGCCCUGAAGAAGAUUUACUUGGGUAAAUCCAGGCUGGCUCCUCAUUUACCGCCAAAGCAAGAUCACUUCUUGGAUGAUCGGAACCCCCCAAAUCCCAUCAUGGCUGCAACAUCAGGGUCUAGCUCGGGUUCCUCUUCUACUGCCUUCUCUUUCUGACCCCAAAAUAACAUGAAAAAUCAAACAUAAUGAAAGAGUAAGAACAAGAAAAAAUCGACAUAAAAAUGAACAGAGAUUUUUGCAUAAGGAUAUAGGGUCUGUUUAGAAAAUGUUCCUAAAAAUACUUUCCUAACUUAGAAACCAUGAUUGACAAACUUCAAGAAUUUGUUCUAAAGGCAGAUUUUUUUUAUAACAGAUUUAAGGUGCUUUUAGGAACUGUAAGAAGUUGUCAUAUAGGCCCAUAAUAUUCUCCUAAUAGGCAUGUGGCCUUUUUCUCAUGCUAUCUAUUUAGCUGUGUUAGUAUUGCAUCAUAAUAGUAAGUGGAAUUAGCAAUUCCAUCAUACUGACCUUUUUCUCUUUCUUUCUCUCUCGACGCUGACGUUUCCGUUCCUCCUCUUCUUGCUGCUGUUUUAAGAUCCGCUCAUCAAGAUCUAGGAAAAUAUAGUCGAGAGAUUAGUUUUCUGUCCACUUUUCUUCCUUUUUUAAUCUUCAUAGGUAUGGUGAGAUCAAACAGUAGAGUGAAACUGUAUGAAAAGGCCUCAUCUAAUGGGGCAAAGCAAUAUUCCUUGGAUAACGAAGUUGAGGCUCAUGACUAGUCAAGUAAAUGCUGCCCUUGGUGCUACUCACAACUAAUUAAAACAAUCAAAACUUCAGCUAAGGUAAGGCUCAAAUUUCAUCUACAUGGGGGUGAUUAGAUUAGAUCUCUUACCUUGCUCGGUAAAGCUACCAGGUGUUCGCCGCUUCUUGAGAACUUCAAAUCGCUCCUGGACCUGUGGCCCAUCAAAAGAUUUUAUACAUAUAUACUUGAUCAACAUCAGUUUUCUUCACAGAGCUUCUGAUAUUCAUUGUGCAUAUUCUUGUGGUUAUCCACUUUAAAGAGUAAUUUUUCUGGGAAGGAAGUUCAUGCUAGAAUUACAAGACGAUGUAGACACAGGCUCAAGCAUGGUAUAUGUGGUAUAUGUCAUUCUCUUAACACAUAUGCCCAACAAAUAAUUCCCAUCUUGAAACCAAAUGCCUUUUUCCCUUGCUCAUACACUCUUGUUUCUUAUCAAAAAAUCAAAUAAAUAAAUAAAUAAAAAGAAAAAAGAAAAAAGAAAAAAGAAGAAAGAAAAACUAAUUGGUAGUUUGUGUGGUUAAGGUUGAACACCAAAUUCGCAGCCUCUAUAGUUUGGGGAUUUCUAGAUUGUUCAAACUUCUGUGAUUAUGCCCUUUGGAGGUUCUUUUUUAGCCUCUAUGUAUUAUAGAAUUUCUUUCUCUAUACACCAUGUGCAGCUUUGCCUUAAUAAUAUUAAUAUAUUCAGAAAGCAGUAAGUUUGUGGCAUUAUUUAUUUGGUUAGUUAUAUCUUUUAACAUCCAUAUCUCUAUAACCAAUUUUGAAAAUUUUCAAAAGCUCACCUGUUGAAGAGAAGCCCGUUCUACUCGCAUAGACAUUCCCAAAGCUCUUUGAUCUAAAAGAAAGAGUCAAGAGAGUCAUAACAGGAGUGGUAAGCAAUUAUGAUAACAUAUAAAUAACAGAACCAGUAUGCAUAAGGAUGGCCACAUACGUUUCUUUCCAUUGAUAUGGUCCAAGUAGUUUGCAGAAUCCUUUACUACACAUUCACAAACUGAACAGUAGUAUCCAGCCUGCAAAAGAACUUAUUUAAACAUAGAAUUCCAAAGUGAAUCAAAGGUAGUAUAUAACAGAUACAUAGACAUAGCUGUGAAUAGAUUCUUUAUUGCUAUUACAAAGGUUCAUAGAUGCAAUAAAUAAGGAGAACAGCCAUCUAGGGAUAAAACUCAGAAUCCAGUGGAUUAUGCCCACCAUUUGCUUUAGCUUUAGUCAUUUCAUAUAAAGCAUUUUGACAAAUGCUACAUUCUUAAACUAACUCCACUACAAGUCCCUUGAGUGUUUCUUGCAAAUACUGAUUACAAAUGGAUGACUUAUUCCAUUUCUUAGCCUAGAUUUUGAAGUGCCCAUUCAAAUUGCCCAAGAACUAUUUCCUGCAUUUUGCAAAUACCAGACCUGAAUGAAUGCUUAUUUCAAUUUCUCAUUAUUUUUAGGUUCUGAUAAUGCACAUCAAAUUUGGAGAAAACCUGAAAAUGAGAUGUCUACUAAAAAUAAAACAACAAAAUUUCAUACAUGAGAAUUGAGUUCAGUAUCCUGAAAACUAUUUUCUGAUUCUGAUGAAUAACCACCUAGUGUGUAAGUAUAAUUUAAAAGAAACUGAAGGGUUUGAUGACUGCCAUGGAAUCAUUAGAAUGGAACUGCUAGUGGCUCUCUUGAAUUCAUGUUGAUAACAAAUCUAGACAUGGUGUUAAGAGUCGGUAAUUGACAUGAGAACUCUAGUUGGCAAUACAUGGAGUCAUCAAUGCAGUGUCUGCUCAGGGCCAAGUUCUCCAGCAAGCAUUAUAAUCACAUUUUAUAUCAAUUGUCUUAGGUGAUAUCAAUACAACACCAGGCAACACAUUACUAUGGUUGGAUUAUUGAAACCUUGAAUUUAAGUCCAUACUUCAAAAAGAAAAAAGAAAAACCAGAAUCCAUCUGAAUGCAUGGGAUGGGCAAGCGUUCAAAUAGCGUAGCAUCUAGUUAACCACUUAAACAUCCAUGUACACCAACUGUAAUGCUUGAGGAUUAAAAAAAGUUCCCAAAACCUUAUGUCGUAAAAAAAAUAAAAACUGAAAAACUGCUAGAUUUGCAAGAGGGCAUCACACUUACCAAGCAAACUAUGAACCAUCCAAUCAAUACCUCAAAAACCAACUAGGCAAUGAGUCCACUAAUGCAUUAAAUGCGAAGUGUAUGAAUUACUUAUCAAAAACUACCACAGCACAUACCACAAAUAUACUAUAUAAUAAAAGAAAGACAACAAGAAAGCAUUUACAUAAUUUGUAUGAAUGUCGUGAAAAGAUACCUGCUGGCUGAGAGGUGCUAUUGGAGUAACAACCUGCCAUAAUAACAAAAGAAAAACCAAAGUCAUCAACUAGGUGUGUGAGUAGGGAACACUUGAAUAGUUUAAAAGUUAGAAGAAGAAAAAAAUGUGAACCCCAAGAUCUUCAAUAUAAAAUAUAUAUCAAGCUUUCAAUAUUUGAAGGAUACAAAAAAUAAAAUAAAAUAAUAAAGCAAGAAUGGUUUGAAAAUUUAAGUGCCUGGACACUGAUUAAAAAGGUAAAUAUAAAAUCAAUCAGAAUAUAUGGCAGAAUAAUUCCACGCUUUCCCUAAGCAACAAUAAAUUGAGUCAUGCAUUGUAAAACUAGAAAAUUGGUGAUUUUAUGAACCAGAUGAUGUCAAACACAGAACACAGAAAGGUCUACAGUCAAAGCUCCAAGAAAGAGGCUACUGAUCUUGGCAGAACGCAACAGCAGGCCAAAUUAUACAAAUAAAACACCACAAGGGACAGUCCUCACAUUCACAAAUGUAGGAUUGUAAUUAAAUAGAAUGUUAUCUUAAGUUCAAGUUUUGUGUAGGAUUCUUUUACUAUGAAAGGCAAUGUCAUCCCAUACCACUUUCUUUUGAGAGGGAAUCUAAACAUUUUAAACAUUGUUAUAUCAUGUCUUCUUUAGAGGUAGCCUAUCAAAAAAAAAAAAAAAAUCUACUAAAUCCUAGCAGGGAAUCAAGAGUCAUUCUUAUUAUCCCUUUUAAAGUAUUGCAAGUCAACCUAGAAGAGUCAUUCAUAGUGAAAAGAAUAAAGUUCUAUCUCCAACAAGUGGUCCACGAUAUCAAAGCAUAGCCAUUCCUAGGAAUCAAAUUUUGGCCUUGCAGGCACUACCAACAAGAUUUUUAGAAUAAAAGUUGGCAUAACCAAAUUGGUUCAGAAAAACCAAAUAAAGCCAUAAAUUAAUGCAUUGAGGUCCUUUUAUGUGUUGAAGGCACAUCCAGCUUGGUAAACAACAUAAACAUCAAGAGAUUCUCGUCCACCAGAAUAAAAUGAGUUUAUCUCUUAAAAGCAAUAUGCAGAUUGAUUGUGUCAUUUAGCAUUUACUGUGAUUAAUAUUAAAAACAUAUUGAGAAAUAUAUAAAACCAUACCGUAAUAACUUCUCAUGUCAUUGUAUUUUUUCAGUUAUUCAAACACAUAAGCUGGUAGUCUUGAACUAAUCAAUUUCAAGCUUCAAGGAUUCACUUAAGCAACAAACAAAUUACUCAUGUGCUAGCAAAUUAUAAUUUUCCCUAGGAGGUGGCCAUACACCUCAAGUUAUCCAUUCACCAAUAACUACAUGAAGAACAUAAGCCAUAUAUUCAACUUAAUUCAACAAUGCCUUAAGUCCAAUUCCAACUGCUAAUGAAAUGAAAAUGAGGGAACACAAAUGAAGAGAAGUGGCUAACCUGGGUUUUUCCCAAACGGGAUUCAAGGUCUACUUCAUAAUCUCUGUGCUUCAAGGGUUUCCUUUGCACCGGAGGACCUUUGGCUGCACAAAAUCUAAUAAUGUUAAUACCUCAACCCCAUCACUGGAUACUUUUCUAGGUUCAGUUCUUUUGCAUCACAUUCAAUUAGAUACAGUACACAAACUCAUUGAAAAGAACAAAAUAUAUAUAUAUAUAUAUAUACAUAUAUAUAUAUAUAUAACAGAAAUAUAUCAUAUCAAAUUGGUCAACUUACACUUGGAUUUAUGCCUCCCCCCCUCCUCCUCCUAAAUUAGAUCAUAAGUUAGCAAGUUAGUCUAUUCAAAUUCAAAAACAACAAACAAACAAAAGGGAGAAGAAAAUUUAGCAAAACAUGCCUCCUGUUCACGCUUCCUAGCUCGUUCUAAGUACUCUUCUUUAUCAAAUUUCCUCCUAAAAGUGUUAUCAACUCCAACAGCCUGCGAGCACAUACGAGAGAAAAACGAUGACAUCAUCCAUAAUAACAAUAUCUAAUUAGAAAUAUACCCUGUGUUUGGUUUCUGAGAACAUGUGACUGCAUAUCAGAAACAUGGACGCUGAAAAAGUUGCAUUAGCUAGCUAUUUAGUGCAGUGGAGAGCAAGUUUGUCCACUUCAGCUUCCAAAUAAUUGAAAAUAAAAAAUCGGAGAUUCAAUUUUGUAAUUCUGCUUGUUUCCCUCCCUCUUCUGAGCAACCAAACAAACCCCAGACUACGUUUGGUCUCCCAGAAAACCGAAGGGUGGAAAAAUCUCAACUAAACUGAUCCAAAUAGUUUUAUUAUGAUCAGAUUGAGCAUGAUCCGUUUCCUUGGUUUCAAACAUGGAAAAACCAGAAGACCCAAAACUUUACUUUCUUUACUUUUUCCUGCAUUUCCUCGGCAACCAAACAGGGAAUACAGACAAUGAUUAUGAAAGCUUGAGCUUACAUUAUUGGAUGAUUGAGCCAUAGCCACAAAAACCUAGACUCGGUGAGUCGAUAACUCACAAGUCAGCUGAGUUGAACUCACGACUGAAUUCAAUUCCCUGAAAAAUAAAUUUCACAGAUUUAAACAACGCCCAUACAAAUCCUCCUAAUUAUCAGCAAUAAAUGACCAAAUAAAUAAACCAAAAACAUACCGAGACCAAGGAGAAGACGAUAAUGAAGAAACCCUAAUUCUGGUUUGAGCCCAACGGUGAAGAAAAUUGUGGGAAAAGCCAAAAUAAACCAGGGUUAAUAAAAAAGAGAAUGGCGGAUUGGAAAAAAUAAAUAAAUGAAAUCAAAGUACAAAGAGGAAAUCUAGAAAGUGCCACGGGUGUUUGGUCUAGUGGUAUGAUUCUCGCUUCGGGUGCGAGAGGUCGCGAGUUCGAUUCUCGCAACACCCCCUUUCUCUUUCUUUUGUUGAAAGUUGAAACCUAGAAAAUGUUUUCAAAAAUAAAUCAUGCUAUUGCAUGCUUUUAUUCCUUGGCAUGCUUAUGCCAAGUCUAAUUUUUUGGAACUUUGGAAAAUGUUUUUCAAAAUCAAAUUAUAUUGGUGUUUUUUGUUUGUUAUGUCUAUUUUUAAUAUAAAAAAAAUGAAAUCAAAUUACUUAUAUAUAUAUAUAUAUAUAUAUAUAUAUAUAUAUAUAUAUAUUAAAAAAAAAUAAUCUUAUUUCUUUUCUUUUUUAAAAUAAGACUAAACUUGUUGCAUGUGCAAAACACGUGAAAUGUUAACUAAUGGGGUAUUUUUAUAUUUAAAUGUAAUUUAAAUUAUUUAAUUAAUUUUAAAAAAAUUAAUAUUCGUCUAUUUUAUAGUUGUAUUUGAAUAUAUUUUAUUUUAAAACAUUUAUAUUGAUUAAUUAAUUAUAUUUGUUAUGUCUAUUUUUAAAAUAAAAAAAUGGAAUCAAAUAUAUAUAUAUAUAAGUAUAUAUAUUAAAAACAAUUAAUCUUAUUUCUUUUAUUUUAUUUUAUAAUACUAGGCUUGUUGUACCUUGUACGUGCAAAACACGUAAAAUGUUAACUAAUAUAAUAUUUUUUAUAUUUAAAUGUAAUUUAAAUUAUUUAAUUAAUUUAAAAAAUAAUAAUAUUCGUCUAUUUUAUAGUUGUAUUUGAAUAUAUUUUAUUUUAUAACAUUUAUAUUGAUUGAUUGAUUAUAUUAAUAAGAUAAGAUAAAAUUAAAUUUUAACUAUUAUUUUUUAAAAAUAAUAUUUUAAAUUGUGGUUCAAUGAUGCACAAUCUAUAUUAAAAUUGAAAGUAAGUUUUAUAAUAAAUUAAUAAAAUCUUUAUUUAUUUUCUAUUGUUUUUUAAAAUAAAAUUUUAAUAUUGAAUAAAAAGUAAUUAAAUUAUUUUUAAAUUAAAUUAAUUAAUUAUAAUGAAUAAAUUAUAUUUAUUUUAAUUAUUUGAUAAACAAAUAUAUUUGAUUAUUUAUUGAAAGGAAUGGCAACCAUGUGAAUCUUUAAUGGAAAUAUGGGUAAAAGAAAGUCACAACAAAACUCUCAGCAUUCCGGCUUUUAUAUAUUGUAUAAUUAUUAGAAAUUAAAAGGAUUGAAGAUAAUUGCUCGUUCUAAUUCAAAUAGACGACCUCUUACAGGUUUUUAAAGAUGACAACAAGACGGGUCCAAUUGUCCUCAUCAUAACCCUGUCAUGUUUAUUAGUUUUUAGAGAUGGCAACAAGAUUGAUUUGAGAUCAAUUGCCUGAAUCCCAACUUCACCCCUUAUAUUCAAAAUUGUUAGCCCAAGGGUUCUCCUAAUCAGGUUUUGAUGAUAACAAACCAUGGUUAAAUUACUAAUUGGUUUGAAUGGUAAAGAAUUUCAUGUAUUAAUUUGAAAAUUCAUCAAAUGACUUAAUUGAUACAAAAUUAAGACGUUUGGAAGACCUUUAAUCAUAAAAAAAACAAAUGUAAGAUGAAUGCAUGAGUGCACUUAGGUUUUACAUAUCAUUUCAUGCAUAUUUGGAAAACUCGGUUUAUUAUUUAAAAUUAUAGUUUCAAUAAAACCUGAGUUUUAUCAAAUGUACCUUAGGCAAAACGUUUCAAAAUUGACAUACUAAUUUACCUAAAGAUUUUACCUAAAUGUUAGAAGAAAAAAUAAUAUAUAUAAAAAAAAAAAUAGGUUUUUGGGGCCAAAAUAUUGAACCGGUCGAGGCACUAAGCCAACCGACUCAACCGGCCAGGAUACUAGUUGACCCAUUCCCUUUGCCCGAUGGAGGUCAGGUCGAGGAGUGCAAAAACACUUUCUCUCUUCCAAUAGUCUUCCCUUCUUGGUCGAGGUAUCCUCCUUCCCGAUCGAUCUUUGGUCGAGGCCUGGUUGAAGCAACGGUAAUCUGCCAAAGCAUUAAAUGCUUCAACGGUUAGUGAACCGAUCGACCCCCAACUCGACCAAUUGAGACUGCUUUUUUUUUUCUUGGCCCCCAAUGUUAUAAACCUAUAAAUAGAGAGUUCCACUUUAUUUAUGAGAUAUAGAACACCUGUAUUUAUUUGUCUACCCAUUUGUUCUUACCUUAAAAGCUCUAAUUUAUUUAUUGGUGCAUUAAAUCUACACUUACAUAUCUUUUAGUGCACCUUUGUGAUUCAUCAUAACUUUGAUUUGUAUUUGAGCUAUCUUUGAGCUAGGUUGAGGGAUUCAUUCUUGUAAAAUUGAGUGUUAAAACCUUCAAGUAAGUUGAAUCUUGAAGAGAUUGUGUAAGAGCUCAUUGGAGCCGGAAUCCAAAUAUAAAGGAGAUUAGAAGCUUGGUUGAAGCUUCAAGUUAGUGGAACUCUCACUCGGUUACAAGCUUGAAGAGAGUGGAUGUAAGCAAGAAAGUGUCGAACCACUAUAAAAUAUGAGUUUAAUUUCUCUAACUUUAUCUCUUUAUAUUUGCUUUUAUUGUGCUUGAAUUUAUUGUGUUAAAAAAGAAUUUUAAAAACCCAAUUCAUCCCCCCCUCUUGAAUGUUUUUCUCAUUUAAGAUUAGCCUUUAUUUUCUCAAAAAUAAUUCACAUCCCCCUUAUUAAAAAAAUUAAAUGAGAUACGACGAAUAUACAAAUUUCUCAUAUCCACCCACUCCACCUGUUUAAUUUUUUUUUAAUUACAUUACAAUAAAUAUAUUUUAUAAAUAAUUAAAAUAUUAUAAUUUUUAUAAGUCAUUUUAUUAAAGAGAAAUUUUAUUAUUAUUAUUAUUAUUAUAUUCAAAAGAAAAAUAAAAAUUAAUUUUAUAUCUAAUUGGGAUAGGUAGGAAUCCAACAAACCAAUACCAAAACUCACCCUAAUCCUGCCCAUGUAUUUAAAAAAAAAAAAAAUCUAAAAUCCACACAUAACUCAUUUAUUUAAAUUUCAAACUCAUAAAAAACAAGGAAUAGGGCAAGACAUGUAUCCAAAAAUCCAUCUCAUUACCAUCCAUAGAAGUUUUUAUAUGAUCGAUCCCUUUCAUUUAUGUGCAUUUAAUUAGAUAUUAUAUACAAGUUGUAGCCAUUGAAUUAAAAAAAAAAAAUUAUAAACCAAUUAAAUAGGGUUUAGUUAGAAUUUUAAUUUUGAUGUAUUAAAUAACUAAAAUAAAAUAUUUUGUUUUUAAAUUCAAUUUCAAUAUAAAUCAUUUAAAAUAGAAUUUAAUUGAAUAUAAUUUCCACAAAUGAUUUUUUAAUUUUUUUAAUCUCAAAUUUUCAAUAAUAAAAUAUUUUUGAUUAAAAAUAUAUAAUAUUUAGUAAAAGAAUUCAAUAAUAAAAAUCUUUAUUUUAUAAAAAGAAUAAAUAAAAAAUAAAAACAUAUAAAAUUUUUAAACAUCUCUUUUUUAUUAAAAAUAUUCAAUUUUUUUUUUUGUGUUUUUAAAAAAUUUUAUUAUCAAAUAUAAUGAAACGUAUAUAUUUAAAUUCUAUUUCUAAUUUUCCUUUAUUUGUAGUAAAAAGUUCUUGUCCUGUUUUUUCAUAAUAUUUAACGGGAAUUAAUCCUUCUUGAAUACAAUUCAUAUCAGCUCCUGAGUCUAUUAAUGCUACUAUUUCCAUUUCAAAAUCUUCGACUAUAAGUUUUACAUUUGCAUACCAUAUUUGAAAAACUAUUUUUGAUAUUGUAUUUAUAAAUGAUUCUAUAGGAGUUUGUUUAUUAGGUAUUAUAAUUCCCGAAUCUUGAUUAUUAGAGGUUUCAACAAAAUCUAAUUUAUAUUGUAUUACAUUUCUAAUUUGUUCAUUUUCUUGUUUUAUUUGCUCAUUUUCUUGUUUUAUUUGUUCAUUUUCUUAUUUUAAUUGAUCUAUUUGCUUUUUUAUUUUUUGUAUUUCUUCUUUCAAGUCUUCAAUGGUUAUAGGCCUUUGAGUAUUUUUGAAUCUAUUAUAAAUUUCAUCCAUUGAAUAUUGUGUAGGUUUAAUUUGAAUCUUAUUUGAAUCUUCCGUAAGAAUUAAAUUUUUUAAAUUUUGUAAAUAGUCUCUUUGUGUUUCUUCAUCUUGAAUGUUGUCUACAACAUAAAAAAAUAUUUGCUUAUCUACUUUUGAAGAUAUUACAUUUAUUGUUUUAAUUAAUUUUGUUUUUUCUUUAUUUUCUGCUUUUGGUGUUUCAUUAAUUUCUCUUGGUUUUUCUAUCUUUGUUGUUGAUUUUGUUGCUAUUGAUGUUUCCUCCACCUCUCCCGGGGCAGAAGAAAACAAAAUUUGAUUAAAUUUUGUUUCACUUUACUUUUCUUUUGAAUUUUCAUUUAACUCUUGAUUAAAUUUUGUUUCAUUUGAUUCUUCUUUUGAUUUUUUACUUGACUCUUCUUGAUUUAUGAUUUGUUGAUCUAAUAAUUUUUUAUUAUGUAGAGAAUUUUCUAUUGCUUUUCUUGAGGUUAAUGUUUCAAUUCUUUUAAGGGGCUUCCUAAAUUUGAACAACCAAAGGAAAAAAGGAAUAGUGAUCCUAACUUGUUGCAUAUAUUUUUCAUAUUUUUUUCUUAAAACAUUUCUAAUUUGAGGAGGAAGUUGUUGAAAAUAAUUUAUUUCUGUAGUAUUUUCAGGAGAAAAAUAAUUUGAUUUAAUCAAUUCUACUUCAGGAACAAAAAGAUUUCUUUUAAUGUUUCUUUUUCUAAUGAUAUUUUUGUUUAAAGGAGGUUUAUCAUGAGAGAAAAUAUUUGACUCAGACUCUUAUUCGAAAAGAGGAAUUUUUGAAACAAAGUUUGACAUAUUUUUGAAUUGAUUUUCUAUUUGAUUCAAUUCUUCAUCUAAUUUUGAAUUAUUAAAUUUUAUGUGAUGACUAUAUAAUGAUGCAGGUAGUGAUGCAGUUGAUGAUGCAGGUGAUGAAUUUGUAAAUAUGAUUAUCUCAUAUGAAGAAUUUUCUGAAUUAUAUGUAGAAUUAUUUGAUGCAUAUGCAAAACUAUCAUGAGACCUAAGAGAUCUGGAAGAACUAGCUCUACUAAUUCCCUUUUAAUAUUCCUCAUCGUCAUAGAAAAUAAUCACAAUUUUAUCCUUAAUCAAUUUAGAUAAUUUCUUAAAUAGAGACCACCACAAGCGGAUCAACACGAGACUUACGCCCCUUCUGCCCUUCAAACACCGCUAUCUUAGGUUGGCCAAACUGUUCAUAGGAAAUUCAAUCCGAACUAAGUCAGGACUAAAUCAGUGAUUAAUUACUGUUCCAACUCGUAACACCACUCGAUUCUCAAGCAGAACGUGGCUCUGAUACCAUUUGCACCCAGGACAUACAACAGUUCAUGCACGUAAUAAUUAAUUAUGUCUAAUAAACUCCAAGUAUAAAAACAUAAAUAAUUACUAUCUAAUUAUGUCUAAUUUAUUGCAGAAAUUUAAUCAUAAAAACACAGAUAUUUGAAUAUGAAAUAUUGUUUAUUGAAAAUAUACCUUGAUUACAGAGAGUUAUUGAUACAAGCUUGUUGACAAUAGAGGGAUGACUCAAAUAUAUGAAUACAAAGGACUAUAACUUUAGAAAGAGGAAAUUACAAAGGCAAGAGAGAGAAUUUUAGAACACUCUUGAGUUCUUCAGCUCUCAAGUUCUCACUCUCCCAAGUUCUACCUAAUAAAGAGAGUUGGAGUUCUAUUUAUAGGCGAAAAAUUUCGGACUUCAGUCUGUCUUGAGUCUUCAUUCUUGAAAAUUUUUUGAAAUCCGUCACGUGUAGAGACAACUGGAACCUUGGUGAAUAAGGUCUGCAGAAGAAGGUAGGGAAAUUUUCUCAUGUUAGAUGGCUUUGGAAGAGAAUAUUUAUUCUAUUUCCUUUCCCUUUCUCCACGUUGUCUUCAAAACUAAAGUGGGAGACAAAACCCACUAUUCAUGACUUUUGACUUGAGAUUUUUUUUUUCUUGCAUUCUUCACAAUUCCUUAUUUAUAUACUUUUUUUUUUUACUGGAUAAAUACAAUGAGACAAUUGUACAAAUAUACAGUUGUACAAAAGAUUCUUGAAAUCUUUUAUCUGGAUUGACCCAUAAGUCCUCCGUAAAUUAUUAACUUAGGGUCUAAGUAUGAAUCAUCUGAUAAAACUGUGUCUUCAGUUUCUUCACUUUCUUGAUAAUCUCCAAACUGUUUGAGAGUUUGAAUGAGUCCUUAACGAUAUUGCUCUAAAUCAGUAGCGGCUGCUAAUGAAACUUGACAUUUGCUUUUAAGAGUAAGGAAUUCUUCUUGAGUUGGUCCUUGAGAAAAACUUGAUGAAUCUUUUGAAUUUGAAGAUCCAGGUUUUGUUGAAAUUAUUUGCAAAAUCUUCUGUUGACAUACAAAAUCAUGAUUGAAUUUGUCCCACCAUUUGAUGCUGAAUUCUCUAGAAAGAGAUGAUGGAAAAGGACGAGGUUGCUCUUGCUUAAUGAUAAUAUUCCAUGUGAGAAUCCAUGGAAUUCUUAAUCUCAAAUAGAACGUCAAGAGUCUCGACUGAGUGAUAGACUGAGAUUAAAUAUUACUCUUGUAGAAGUUUAAUUUUUCUUGAAUUUUAGGAGGAAAUAUGGAGUCUAGUAGACCAAAUAAAGUCCACCAUUUUUUAAACCAAGCAUAAAAUUUGGUAUUACAAUUUCUUGAGAAUUGGAUUAACCAAAAAUGUUGGUAGCUUUGCGAUAAAACAUAUUGUACUAAGCAUCCAUAUAAUCUACGUAAUUGUAGCUCAUGAGACGGAAAUGUUGACUAAACGCAUUGCAAGUGAAGGGUUUUUUAUUCCAACCAGCAAUGGUCAUGACUUUGAGAAUUUGACAUUUGGAAAAAGCAAUCCUCCGAGGAUUGUUUUUAUCAGUGUUAUGAGUAAUUUCAACUUAAUUUGUGCCCACCAGGAUGAACUCAUAAAAUUGAUGAGUUUUCAAAGGAUCAUUGGAAUUGAAGGUGACUCCUUGAGGAAAGAUGUAAGGAAGAAUUUUAGGAAUUUCUUUAUAAUUGUACUCUAGCUCAAUGAAAGCAAUUUCUAAGGUUUUGGGUUUUUUGACAUAUUGACUAAUGGAAAAAUAAUGAGAAGGAGAAAGUAAUAUUGAAAUAGUGCUAGGACUGGAUUGACUCUGAACAUGAAUAUUUUUAGAAGUUGAUUUAAAAGCUUUAAUAAAACUUUUUGAAGGUUGAAGAGGAUGAAAAUCUAGACUCAGAACUUCAAAGGAAUUUGAUAUUUGUAAUGGAAAAGUAGGACGAAUAUUUGAAAAUUUUGAAAUCAUUGCAUAUGAAGUUUUGAUUUUCUUGGAUGAUGAAGGAAGUUGAGGCCUAAUAGGAGUACCCAUUACGAUGGAGGAGGGUCCUUACCCUGCAAAAACUCUCGAGUAAGGAAGUCAGGAAGGAAAUUCAACUCUUUUUUGAUAAAUUUAAUUUCAAAAUCAAAAUUUGAAAGUAAAGUUUGUCAUCUUGCAAAAAUUUGUUUUGAAACUAAAUUUUUAACAUCUUUUUGUUAAAUAUCUUUUGCAACUUUCCAAUCAAUUUUCAAAAGAAAAUUUUUGUUUAUCAAAUCACUUUGAAAUUUCGAAAUACAUUAAACUAUGGAUAAAACUUCUUUUUUGACAAUUGAAUAAUUUAUUUGAGCUCCCAACCAGAUCCCUGAAUGAUAUCUAACUAUAUGCACUUGAUUGUUAUACUCUUGCUUUAAUAUGUCUCCAUAACCUAAAUUAGAUGCAUCUGAUUUUACAAUGAGCAAUGCAUUUGGAUGAGGAAUGCUAAUGCAUGGUAAACGUUUGACUCUUUGUUUAAUUUUUUUGACUAAAUUAGUAUGAUGUUCAAUCCAUAUAGGUGCAUUUUUUCUAAGUCUUUUGUAUAAAGGUUCACAAAUGUUUCUUAAAUCUUUGAAGUAAUCAGAGACAUAAUUUAAACAACCUAAAAAUCUUUGCAAUUGUUUUUUAACUUUUAUUUCAUCAGGAAAUUUGUCAGCAAAUUCUAUUAACCUUUUAAUCGGUUUGGUUUUCCUUGAAAAAUUUCAUGUCCUAAAAAUCUAAUUUUUGUUUGAAAUAAUUUCAUUUUUGGAGUAGAACAAGUCAUUUCAUUUGCUUUAAUGACAUUGAAAAACUUUUUAAAAUGAACAAAAUAUUUUUCUAAUGAAUCAUAAAAUACUAAAACAUCAUCCAUGUAUACAAUUAUGAACUGAAAAUGAGGAUUAAAAAUAUCAUUCAUAAUAUUUUGAAAUUCAAAAGGGACAUUUUUUUAGACCAAAAGACAUGACAUUCCAUUCAUAAUGACCAAAAGGGAUAGUAAAAGCAGUUUUGUAUCUAUCUUCUUCUUUGAUUUGAACCUACCAAAAUCCAGAUUUCAUAUCAAAUUUUGAAUAAAUUACAGAACUAUGAAGUCUUUUGGGUAAAUCUUGCUUAUUAGGAAUAAGGUAUCUUAUCUAUUGUAAUACUUUAUUUAAAGGUUUAUAAUUAAUGACUAAUCUACGUGCACCUCUUUCUAUCUCAGCAACAUUUUGAACAUAAAAAGCGGCACAACUCCAAAUGGAUUUUGAGGGUGUGAUUAAUUUCUUCUUUAAUAAUGAAUCAAUUUAUUGUUUACAAUAUUCUAAAAGAUUUUCAUUCAUUUGAAUAGGUCUAGCCUUAGUGGGAAUUUUAGACUCAUCAAAAUUUUGAAUGUAAGACAAACUUAUCUCAUGUUUCUUUAUGGACCAAAAAACAUUUGGAAGAUCAUAACAAAUUUCAUUUUGAAAAAGAUCUUGAAUCUCUUUUAUUUUAUUUUGAACUCCAUCUUCUAGAAGUUGUUCUUCUACCUUUUUAUAUUGAAUCUCUUUUUGAUAGAAAAUUUAUAUGAGCUUGUUUUAUUUGAAUUAAAUUUAUCUUUUUAUUUAUCGAAUCACUUUGGACUUGAUGCAUUUAUUUUUUAGUUAAUGGAUAUAUGAAAGGGAAAAAUAUGGUGUUUCCUAAUAUUGGAGUUUUGAUACCUUCAUAAUUUACUUGAAAAUGGUAGAGUAAGGUAAUAAAAAGAGUUCAUAAGAUUAAAGGUUCAGUCAUAUUUUGUACUAAUAUAAAUUGAGUUCUAAAAUAAUAAUUAUUUUGACAUAUAUGAACAUUUUGAAGUUUAAAUUCUAUUUAUAAUUUUCCUUUAUUUGCAGCAAAAAGUUAUUGUCCUGUUUUUUCAUAACAUUUAAUGGGAAUUAAUCCUUCUUGAAUAUAAUUCAUAUCAGCUCCCGAGUCUAUUAAUGCUAUUAUUUCCAUUUCAAAAUCUUCGAUUAUAAGUUUUACAUUUGCAUACCAUAUUUGAAAAACUAUUUUUGAUAUUGUAGUUAUAAAUGAUUCUAUAGGAGUUUGUUUAUUAGGUAUUAUUAUUCCCGGAUCUUGAUUAUCAGAGGUUUCAACAAAAUCUAAUUUAUAUUGUAUUACAUUUCUAAUUUGUUCAUUUUCUUGUUUUAUUUGUUCAUUUUCGUGUUUUAAUUGAUUUAUUUGCUUUUUUAUUUUUUGUAUUUCUUAUUUCAAGUCUUCAAUAGUUAUAUGCCUUUGAGUCUUUUUUGAAUCUAUUAUAAAUUUCAUCAAUUGAAUAUUGUGUAGAUUUAAUUUGAAUCUUAUUUGAAUCUUCCAUAAGAAUUAAAUUUUUUAAAUUUUGUAAAUAGACUCUCUGUGUUUCUUCAUCUUGAAUUUUGUCUACAACAUCAAAAAAUAUUUGUUUAUCUACUUUUGAAGAUAUUAUAUUUAUUGUUUUAAUUAAUUUUGUUUUUUCUUUAUUUUCUGCUUUUGGUGUUUCAUUAAUUUCUCUUGGUUUUUCUAUCUUUGUUGUUGAUUUUGUUGUUGUUGAUGUUUCCUCCACCUCUCUCGGGGCAUAAGAAAACAAAAUUUGAUUAAAUUUUGUUUCACUUUACUUUUCUUUUGAAUUUUCAUUUAACUUUUGAUUAAAUUUUGUUUCAUUUGAUUCUUCUUUUGAUUUUUUACUUGACUCUUCUUGAUUUAUGAUUUGUUGAUCUAAUAAUUUUUUAUUAUGUGGAGAAUUUUCUAUUGUUUUUCUUGAGGUUAACGUUGCAAUUCUUUUAAGGGGUUUCUCAAAUUUGAAAAACUAAAGGAAAAAAUGAAUAGUGAUCCUAACUUGUUGCAUAUAUUUUUCAUAUUGUUUUCUUAAAGCAUUUCUAACUUGGGGAGGAAGUUGUUGAAAAUAAUUUAUUUCUCAGUAUUUUCAGGAGAAAAAUAAUUUGAUUUAAUCAAUUCUACUUCAUGAACAAGAGGAUUUCUUUUAAUGUUUCUUUUUCUAAUGAUAUUUCUGUUUAAAGGAGGUUUAUCAUGAGAGAAAAUAUUUGACUCAAACUCUUAUUCGAAAAGAGGAAUUUUUGAAACAAAGUUUGACAUAUUUUUGAAUUGAUUUUCUAUUUGAUUCAAUUCUUCAUUUAAUUUUGAAUUAUUAAAUUUUAUGUGAUGACUAUAUAAUGAUGCAGGUGAUGAUGUAGGUGAUGAUUUGUAAAUUUGAUUAUCUCAUAUGAAAAACUUUCUGAAUUAUAUGUAGAAUUAUUUGAUGCAUAUGCAAAACUAUCAUGAGACCUAAGAAAUUUAGAAGAACUAGCUCUACUUAAUUCCCUUUUAAUAUUACUCAUCGUCAUAGAAAAUAAUCAUAAUUUUAUCCUUAAUCAAUUUAGAUAAUUUCCUAAACAGAGACCUCCACAAGCGGAUCAACACGGGACUUACGCUCUUUCUGUCCUUCAAACACCGCUAUCUUAGGCUGGCCAAGCUGUUCAUAGGAAAUUCAAUCCGAACUAAGUCAGGACUAAAUCAGUGAUUAAUUACUGUUCCAACUCGUAACACUACUCGGUUCUCAAGCAGAACAUGACUCUGAUACUAUUUGCACCUAGGACAUAUAAUAGUUCAUGCACGCAAUAAUUAAUUCUGUCUAAUGAACUUCAAGCAUAAAAACAGAAAUAAUUAUUGUCUAAUUCUGUUUAAUUUAUUGCAGAAAUUUAAUUAUAAAAACACAUAUAUUUGAAUAUGAAAAUAUUGUUUAUUGAAAAUAUACCUUGAUUACAGAAAAUUGUUGAUAUAAGCUUGUUGAUAACAGAGGGAUGACUUAAAGUGAUGAAUACAAAUGACUAGAUUUUUGAAAGAGAAAAUUACAAAAGUAAGAGAGAGGAUUUUUUGGAACACUCAUGAGUUCUUGAGCUCUUAGUUUUUUCUCAUUCUCCCAAGAGGCUCUAUUUAUGGGUGAGAAUUCGGACUUGAAACGAUGUUUUGAGUCUUCAAAAUUUUAUUCUCCUUGUCUUCUUGCUUUUCUUUUCCAUUACACUCCUUUUGAGUCAUGGUGAAAGACAAAAAACACUAUUCAUCAUAUUUUUUUUGCUUUUUUUUUUAACAUUCUUCACAAUUCAUUCUUCACAUACUUUUCACAAAUUUAAUAUAUCUAUAUCCUGUCGGGAUUUUAUUUCCAAUAUAAUAUUGAAUGAUAUUGGAAAUGAUAUCUUAUAAAUAUGUAUUUAUAAUUAAUAUUUUAAUUUUUUUAUUGAUAAAUUUCCGUAAAAGAUAAAAUAAUAUUAGUAAGACAGAUAUCAGAAUAAUAGCGUCCCUCCGUUUUAGAUUACCAAAAACGAUGUCGUUUUACCAGAAAAAUGUGUCUAUAAAUAAGUAAAAGAUCAGCGCCUUCACCAGCUUGCUUCUUUUUCCUUCCUUUUUCCUUUUUGUUGUUUUUUGACAUCAGAAAAUAUGUCGAUCUGGUGGGCUCUGCAAACCCUAGCUUUGCUCCUGGUCUUCACCGCAGUCUCCGCGGACGACGUCGUUGUGCUCACCGAAGCCAACUUCGAGCAGGAGAUCGGCAAAGAUCGCAGCGCUCUCGUCGAGUUCUACGCUCCCUGGUUCGAUUUCCAGUUUUUCUUUUUUCUGGAUGUGAUUUUUGGUUUUUGAGGUUGAUGUAGUGUUGUUGGAUGAGUUGAUGUGCAUUGAUUUGUUGGAAUGGAGUGAUGUUGACCGUGUUUGGUUGGAGAUCUGUUGCUUUUGAGCUCACAUUUUUGGUCAACUUUGAUCUGAUCAGGACUGUGAUUCUCGUCGACUGCGUGAAUGGCUUUGAGAUUUGCAAUAUUUGAUUUAUGUUUGGAAAUUAUUUGAAUUUUCAUGCUUAAUUUUGAGUUAAAUUCAGGCAUGUUAAUGAUUUUUUUUUUCUUUUUCUGUUUGAGUUAAGAACAUAUCAUUUUCUAUGUAAUUGAGCGAUGAUCUUUGAGAGCUGCUUUAGAUGCGCUUCAUUUUUGCUUAUAGCUCUCUUGUUCCCGUCAUUCAUAGAAAUGAUUGACACGAGAAAACCAAUAUAAAAACUUUUAGAAGUUGUGUGGUGAAGUGAUCAUAAAUUACAUCCACUUUGUUUUUUUUCAGUAUUAAGUCUAAAAAUGGGUGUUGUGGUGUCAGAAUUAGGUCUGGGACAUGUGGGGAUAACACUCUAGAGUGUGUGCCGUGCAGAAUGCAUAGUUGAAACAGUGGAUGAUUUCCUAUUGGUGAUAUACCAAAUUGAGUGAGGGCUUGGAGAUCGUUAAUGCAAUUACACGCUUUUACAACUUGAUUUUUUGGCUUCAUAUUUUUUCAGUGAGCUGUCAGGUGUGGGAUUUAGGUUCAUUUCAGUAAGCAAAGUUGAAAAAGAAAAAACAAAUUAUUAGAAAGGGGAAGUACUUUGGUUAGGUUUCUUAAGGCAGUAGUUCCAAAGACUUUAUUUAUUGGAAUAUAUUUUAUAAGUUCUAUAUUUUAAAAUUUAGGCCUUUGGGUCUUAAAAUAAUUUUACUUUGUACCCAAUGCUAUCUUCUGGCUGAAGUUCAAAUAUACAUUUUGGAUUCUCAAAGCACUUCUGCUUCCUUAUUUUAUUUUAUUUUUAAAAAAUUUCCUUUUUUCCCCCUGAUUUUCUCUCUCAUUGAGUUGGUACGCGAUGAAACCUAAAUUAUUGAUUUUGUUCCCUGGCAGGUGUGGGCAUUGUAAAAAGCUUGCCCCAGAGUAUGAGAAGCUUGGUGCAAGUUUCAAGAAGGCAAAGUCUGUUUUGAUUGGAAAGGUAAGAUCUUUAGGUCCUAGUAACCUGACCAUUUUUCAAUUGGUUGUUGCUGUAUAAAUUAUCAUCACAUCACUAGGAUCUCAUUUAAUCAUGUGUAGAUUUCUUUCGUUCCUUUACAAUGUUCAUAAAUAAUGUGGAAAAUCAAAUAACUACUCUGUAUUGGAAAAAAAAAGAAGGAAGAAGGGGACCUAUCAUCAAUAGAAAAGGGCACGGGCAAUGGAACUGAAUCCGCUCGACUACUUGUGCUCUGGUUGGUGUCAUGGGCGUGCUUGUCAUUAUAAUGAAUUCUGGUUCUUUUGCCCCGGAAUUCAUUUAUUGCAUAUUAGCCCUUCCUGAAUUCAUUUAUGGCAUUUCCCUUUUCUCUUUUUCUACAAUAGAAAAGGUGCAAAAUUGUAACUGCUUUAAUUUUGUUUUAAUAAAUAGAAAUUGACUGAAAUAUUCAACUCAUUGUGUUUCUUAUCAUUGUAAAUAUUUGUUCUUUUGCCUCUGAAUUCAUUUAUGGUUUUUCCCCUUUCUCCUUUUCUACAACAGAAAAAGUACAAAACUGUAACUGCUUUAGUUUUGUUUUAAUAAAUAGGAAUUAACCGGAAUAUUCAACUCUUGUUCUUUUACAAUUUUUUAUGUAGGUUGACUGUGAUGAACACAAGAGCGUUUGCAGUAAAUAUGGGGUUUCUGGAUACCCUACAAUUCAAUGGUUUCCUAAGGGGUCCUUGGAGCCCAAAAAGUGAGUUUAUGCAUUUACUUAUUGGUUUUUCUCCUUUCUAAUAAUGAAAACAUCUAUAAGAAUAUUGUUCAUACAUACACCUGCUGCCCCUCACUCUGCACUUGAUACACUUUUGUUGUUCCCAUCCCUGGAGCUCUUGUGGCAUCCACUUAGAUGACUCUUAAUUGAAUUACAUAUUUUUUUAGGUAUGAAGGAGCGCGUUCAGCAGAAGCUCUUGCUGAGUUUGUGAAUAAUGAAGGAGGUAUUUGUCUAUUUUGUAGAAUUAAUUGAUUUGGUGAUGCAUAAAAUUUCUGUCUGUCUUCUUGGAAUGAUGAUUUUAUUGCUGUUUUUUGGCUUUAUUGCACAACAUUUUUAAACAGAUCUGAUUGACUGUGUCUUAAUUUACUUCAAGAUCGAUCAGUCCAUUAUUUUCACAAUAACUUGCCCUUGACCAGCUUUUUGAAGUCAGAAUCCCUUGCUACUUCCUUUUACUAAGGCUCCUAUUGAUUUCUAAGGAAUUUUGGUUGUGCCUGACACGUGAUACAUGGAAUGACAUGGUUCCAACAUCCUUUACACCCCAGCCAUAUCCAAUACUUAAAGGCACUGAAACCAGCAACCGCACCCUACUUAGAGCCUAACAAAUCCAAAAAAUCUAACAUUGACAAGGAAUAAUCUCAUAUAAACACUCUAACCCAGUCCUAGAAGAGAUGCUAUAAGGAAUGUUUAAUUGCUUGAUCCCUAUUUUCACAAUUUUCAAAAGCUAUACUGUUUCUCUCCCUCCAAAUGGUCCAAAACAAACACAGUGGAGCAGCCAUCCAAGCCCUGUCUUGGAUCUGCCAUGUUUUGGAUGCAUUGGGAGUGCUACAGUUUUUUUAAUAACUUUUUUCCUUUCUUAGAAGGAUUCCUCUUAAUUAUGUUUAUUUUUUUCCUUCCUUUUCUGUUGUUAUUUUGUUCAUUUGUUUGUUUUAUUUUUAUUAUUUUGUUUCUCAAAUGAUUUGGUGGUCCAGCAGAGGACUGUUGUAUUCUGAUUGAUAUGCAAUUAUACAUUUAUUUUAUUUAUACAAUUUUGUUUUUCUCAAAUGCCUUGGUGGUUCAGUGGAGGCUGUUUUAUGUAGAGUAAUACUAUUGCAUAAUUUAUAUUAGUUAAAAUUAAAUCAAGGGUUUAGUAGUUUUUGCCAUUCAAUUUGGUCAUGACUUGAGAACCAGUUGUCAUUGGCUUCUGCACAAUUUCAUUCUGAUGCAGAGGAUAUAGGAUAACUUAGAAUCUAAUAAACCCAUCACCAUUUUGAUUUUUCUGCUGGAGUAAUUAUUUUAUAGCCUUCCUUAAGAUGUGUUAGAACCAAAACAUGGUAGAAUGUUUUUCAAUGCCUGUUAGGUUCUAGAAUGUUUUCUUAGUGAUCAUAUGUCCGCUUUACUAAACCUUUGCUUGGACCCCUAUUGAAGCUAUCUGGGGAAAAAGCUGGUAUGACCAACAUUUUGGAGAUGUUAAAAAGUCCAUAACAAGGGUUCUAUAAUAAAUAUUUCCCACGUGCUAUUUUUUGAAAGAGCUGUUUAUUUCUUCCCAAUUACUUUUUAUUAUAAAAUCUUUGAAGAUAGGAUAUUUAUAUGUUUGGACAUUAUGUUUCUUGCACCCUGUGGUUAACAUUGCAAAUUUGCAUAAAGAAAAUAAUAAACUUGUGUAACAUGUGCUGGGCAUCAUAGUUCAUUGCAGUCUAGAUUUUAUUCUCCAUAAAAUCUGCCAUCACAAGUACUGACUGUUACAUAAUAUUUAGUCAACAUAUUUUAUGCACUAAAUGCUGCUUUAUAUUCAGGGACUAAUGUGAAGAUAGCUGCAGUCCCAUCCAAUGUAGUGGUGCUAACAUCAGAUAGUUUUGAUGAGGUUGUCCUGAAUGAAAAGAAAGAUGUGCUGGUUGAGUUCUAUGCACCAUGGUGAGAGUUCUUCUUGGUUAUCUUUGCAUAAUGUUCUCUCUGCACUUUAAUAUUUUAUGAUUAUCUAAUUCAAUAAAAUUUUAUUUUGACACAAAAAUGAAAUGGUGAAAAAAGGAAUGAGUAUUGUAACUAACUUGAAGGUAGUACAAAGCUUUUUUUACUUUUUAGUUAGAUAUAGAUUGAAUUGCUAUUCUGCUUUCUACUAUACUAGGUUGAGUUAAUUCAUCUGUCGAAUUAUUUCCCUUAUUUUGCUUUGCACGUCUGAACUGUGCUUUUAUUUUGAUAGGUGUGGCCAUUGCAAGAGCCUUGCUCCUGUAAGUUUGUUAGUACUCUUCUGGAGAAACUUUUGCCUGACUUUUGUCUUGUACCCUGAUAAGUGAUAAUAAAGUGAUCUCUGAUUACUUUAUUCUGCCUGUUGUGUAGAUUUAUGAAAAGGUUGCAACAGCAUUUAAAUCAGAGGGGGAUGUAGUGAUUGCUAACCUUGAUGCUGACAAAUACAAGGAUCUGGCUGAAAAGUGAGUCUUUAACCCCCGGAAAUAUGGUUUGUGCAUGUCCUUUUGUUAUACUCGCAUUGGAUGACUGAGAGUUCAUAUCUGAUGAAACCACUCCUCAAUAUACCACAUGUGUCUGCAUUAUGGAAAAAUAUUAAUUUUUGGGAAGUUUUUUGAUUGAAUUAAAAAGCCUGUAAAUAUUCUGCUAAUGCAGGUAUGGUGUAAGCGGGUAUCCUACAUUAAAGUUCUUCCCAAAGGGCAACAAAGCUGGUGAGGACUAUGAUGGUGGCCGAGAUUUAGAGGACUUUGUAACUUUCAUCAAUGAUAAGUGUGGCACUAGUCGUGAUGGGAAAGGACAACUCACUUCCAAAGUUAGUAACACAUUUAUUCUGAAACUGACAUCAAUAUGAUAUAUUUUCAUUUCCUGUGGUUUUUAUAGUUUUUUUUUUUCCACAUAGGCUGGCACUGUUGCAAGUUUGGAUAGCUUGGUUAAGGAGUUUAUUAGUGCUAGCGAUGAUGAGAAGAAGGCAGUCUUCGCUCGGAUAGAGGAGGAAGUUGAAAAGCUUGAGGGUUCUGCUGCAAGGUUAUCAUUAGGGAUUUAUGGUUUCUAUUUUUGUCGCAUGAUGUUGCAUUAAAGUUACAUGAACUUCUGUUGAAGGCAAAGUUGGUGGUUUUCAUUUUACUAUUUCCUAUCAAAAACUUUGUGAAAUGCAGCAGGGAUUUUCAUUAUUCUUGAUUUUUUAAAAGAAAUUUGCCAACCUUUGUCUUUCCAGAUAUGGUAAGAUUUACGUGAAAGCUGCCAAGAGUAGUUUGCAGAAGGGGGCUGACUAUGCCAAGAAUGAAAUUCAGAGGCUUGAGCGCAUGCUUGAGAAGGUACAAUAUCUGUUUUUUUUCCCCAAUUUUAUAAUAUCUCAAACUGAUGCUCAGUAGUUUUAUUUUAAUUUAUUAUACUUUUUUUGUACUGGCAUUGAGAGCCUAUUAGUUUGUAGGAUUUAUGUCUAUAUGGAUUGGCUAGAAUUUUUACCAUCUAUGCCACCGUUAACCUGAUAAACCCUCUUCAUUCUUAUCUGCCACUGGCUAGGAAGAGCACUUGUAGGAUUAGCAAUAACUAUAAAUGGCAUUCUAAGUGUUACUCAUUGAGAUGCACCAGUGAACAGCUUUGCUGGAUGCCUGGAUAAGUUUCCUACUAUCUUUCAUACUCACAUAGAAUUGAAAAUUACGAUUUGAGUGGAACAUCUCUUGCUUAUGCUGUGGGAUAAGGAAAAUAGAUACUGGAAAGUUCAUGGAAAUGUCCCAUUAAAGUGAAGCCCAGUAGAUAUUUAUUUGUAAAGACUGUUAAAGUAAAGCAAAGCCCAGUAUGGUCCUAGGUGCACUUUAAUAAUUCCAUUUGUCAUCAUCAUUAUUAUCCGGUCGAUAUCAGUACUCAUCUGUAUAGCCUAUAGAUGAACCACCAUCUCAAGAGUUGAAUCCUGGACCUUCUUUUAGUGGGAGCCUGUCGAUAUCAGUACUCAUCUGCAUAGCCUAUAGAUGAACCACCAUCUCAAGAGUUGAAUCCUGGACCUCUCUUCUAGUGGGAGCCUGGAGAUACCAUUAAGUUAAAAAGGUUGUCAACCUGUCACCUUGUUUGAAACCACAAAAAUGAAGAAUUAAAAUUAAAUCAAAACUAAAAAUUCAUAACAAAAUUUCACAGUUUCAGAGAUAAUGUAGAAUAAGAAGCGUCGUGGUCAUUUAAUGAUGUCAUUCUUUUAUAACAUUUGAUGAAAAAUGGGUGAUUGAGAUUGGUUUCCUUGUUUUGAGGAGAAAAUUAAGGCCAUGUUUGGUUCUUGGAAAAUUUGAAAGAAAAUGUGAAAAGAAUAUAAAGAGGAAAAGUAAAGGGAAAGAAAAAAUGAAUGAAAAUAAAAAAUAGAUUUAAAGUCAAUAAAUAAUUUUUGUAAGCUACUUGAAACUCAUUUCAUUGAGUUUAACUCUUCUAUAUAAAGAUUAAAUAAUUUUAAAAUGUAUCUGUUUCUGACUAAUUUUAAUUAUAUAUAUAUUUUAUUUCCUAUGGUAAAACCAAAUAUGAGAAUCAUUUUACUUUGUUUUUUUUGGGUACUUUUUGGGAACUAAACGUAGCCUAAAGGAGUGAGUUUUCCCUGGUAGUGAUGAAGAGAAGUUAGAUGAUGUAUGGUGUUAGUAUAAUCAAUGGGGAGAUAACAGUAUUAUUAAUAAGGAAAAACAAGAAGAAAUGAGGGUAAGGGGAAGGCAGUGCACGGAGAUGACGAAAGGGAGGUCGUUUGCAGAUGCGGUGAAGGGUGGGUGGAACAAGGAGUCCAAGAUCAUACGAGUGGAGGUGGCUCGGGAGGAACUAAGUAGAAAUCUCAGUAGACUAGAACAUUGCUUGAUCGGAAGCUGGAGUCCCAACAUCACAACAGGGGUAACCUUGGAAACCUUGGGUGGGGAAAUGGCCAAAGCUUGGGGUUUGAAAGGCAAGAUGGGGAUGGCGAGUAUGGGAAAAGGACGUGUGCUGCUGGAAUUCGAAUUUGUGGAAGAAGCGAGACGGGUUAAUCUAUCAGGCAUCAGGGCUGUGAGAGGUGUUCAAAUGGGCUUGGAGUGCUGGGACCCAAACUCAGGCUGUUUGGAGGAAGGGGAGACAAGAAAGGAAGUGUGGGUGAGAAUAUUAGGGUUACCAAUGUCGUUAUGGGUUCCGUCGGUGCUGAAAAGGGUGGGAGAUGCGUGUGGAGGGUUUCUCGACGUCGACCCUCAGACGGAGAGCUUGGAGGAGUUGCAGUGGGCCAGGGUCUUGGUCAGAUCGGACGGCGAGACUUUCCCUGACACUCUAGAGCUAGGGUUUGAAGAGACGACAUACUCUGUAACCCUAUGGUGGGAGAGGAUGCCGUCGAUAAGGACGGAAGAGGGGAGAAAGCAAAGCCGGUGGAAUCCAUCAACGAGAGAGGUUGAAGGUGACGAAGCUUCACGCGCUGCUACGCGAGUGGAGCAGUUGGUGGGCGUGGAAACCGAGGCGCAGAGUCAGUCAGAUGAUGGGACUGACUGUCUGUCGCAGGACAUGGGCCCCUCUGUAAAGAGAGCCCAGACGCGAGUGGGCUCGCCGCAGGGGCCUGGCUCCAAAUCUGGGCCUACAGCUUCUGGGCUACUUCGGGCCUUUGGGCCCAAGUCACCUCCAGCUUCUGAUGCCCCAAAGGGGGAUCAGUCUGGGCCGAGGCUUCCUAAUAGGUUGGGGCGGGGUGCAGGCUAUGGUAUGGGCCAGGCUCAUAAGGGGAAAUCCAAUUUAGCCCAGACCCACCUUUCAGAUAAUGGGCCUCUUUUAAUAACCCCUCCUUCUUGCUCCAACGGUCACUUUAAAGCUGAUGACUUAGAGAAAGAGUUCACCAGAUGCAGAGAGGAAGAAAUGGGGAGAAGACAACAGCUGGACCCAAUCAACCCGAGCGCUGAAAGAAUGCUAGAAGAAGAAGCUGCGAGGUAUGUCUCAGAGAUAAAUAUGGGGGGUACCAGGGUUCAAGGGUCUUUCUCUUCUAAUCUUCUUUGUUUCGGUCGGACUCCGGAGAGGGAGUAUUACGACCAUUCUGGGGGGAGAAGAGAAGGAAUUCUGGUUGGAAGUGGGUCGCGAAGACCAAAUACAGAAGAUCAUUCAGGAAGAAGGGAGGGCUGUUGGGACAUGGUUGAAAUCAGCAGCGAUGACCCUACGGGUAGGAAUUUGGGGUGGACUACAGACCAAUGGGCUAGUCAAGAGGGCAGAAAGGAGGACCAGCUCAAUUGGGAGGAAAGUAGCCUGAUUAAGUUCAGCCACUUUUUGGGUUUCUCUACGGAAGGUCUAGAGAAGGAAAUUUUGAACUUCUUAGGAAAAAUCAGGAAAAGAAGGGAGAAAAUAAUAGACAAAGGACUACUGGAGACUACAAGAUUUGAAAGGGAGCUUAAGAGAUUGGAGUGCUCUGUUAAUUAUGAAGGGGACACUAGGAAGAAAGGCCCUCAACAGGGCAGAGGGAUCCAAAGUUCAGUUGUCCAAUGAAUGUAAGACUUCUGAGUUGGAAUGUGAGGGGCGUGAAUGACAGGUCCAAGAGGAAAGUUAUCAAGUCAGUUAUCAGAAGCCAAAAGGUGGACCUGUUCUGUAUUCAAGAAACAAAGAUGCAAGUUAUGUCUGAAGAGGUGGUGAGGAGUCUAGGGCCGGGGAGAUAUCUUGAUUGGAAGGCUUUAAAUGCUAUGGGGACAGCAGGGGGUGUCUUGAUUUGCUGGGACAAAAGAUCUCUGGAAUUGCUGGGGGUGGAAGAGGGCCAAUUCUCCAUUUCCUGUAGAUUCAGGAAUGUGGGAGAUGGAGUAAUCUGGGUGUUCACAGGGGUUUAUGGUCCUUGUUCCAGAAAGGAUAGGGAGUGUUUAUGGGAGGAGUUCGGGGCAAUUAGAGGACUGUGGGAGGACCCAUGGUGUCUAGGAGGUGAUUUUAAUUCAACUCUAUACCAAGCUGAAAGGAGUAGAAAUGGGAGGAUCACUUCAGCUAUGAGGAGGUUUGCCCAGGUCAUAGAUGAGUUAGGGCUUAUUGAUAUUCCCUUGCAAGGGGGAUCCUUCACUUGGAGUGGGGGGCUCAAUAACCAAUCGUGGGCCAGGUUGGAUAGAUUCCUGGUGUCCCCCAAUUGGAUAGAUCAGUACAGUAGGGCUAAUCAAAGAAGAUUACCUCGCCCAAUCUCGGAUCAUUUUCCGAUUUUGCUUGAGGGAGGUGGUCUAAGGAGAGGUCCUUACCCCUUCAAAUUUGAAAACAUGUGGCUCAAAGCUGAGGGGUUCAAAGAGCUGAUAGAGGGGUGGUGGCAAGGGAUAGUGGUUAGAGGAAGGCCGAGCUACAGGUUAGCAGCUAAGAUGAGGGGUCUGAAACACAAUUUAAAGAUCUGGAAUAAGGAGGUCUUUGGAAGGUUAGAGAAAAACAAAGCUGAAGCCCUUCAGCAAGUGGAGCGAUGGGACGUAGUGGAAGAAGAGAGGGCUCUAUCAGAGGAAGAGUUAGGCCACAAAAAAAUAGCUAAGGAGAAUUAUUCAAAAUGGGUGUCGAUGGAAGAAGUGCAUUGGAGACAGCUAUCAAGGGAAAUAUGGCUUAGGGAAGGGGAUAGGAACACGGGAUUCUUUCACCGUAUGGCUAAUGCCCACAGGAGAGUCAAUAAUCUGAUCAAAAUUAAGAUUAAUGGGGUGAGACUUACAGAAGAUCAAGAGGUGAGGGAUGGAAUAGUAAAUGCUUAUCAGCAUCUUCUUUCGGAAAACGCGGAUUGGAAGGCGGAUAUAGGGGGUCUUGUGCUGAAGCAGAUCAGCCUAUCAGAAGCGGAUGCUCUUGAGCUUCCUUUCACUGAAGCUGAGAUCUAUGCUGCAUUAAUGGGGAUGAAUGGGGACAAGGCCCCGGGUCCGGAUGGUUUCACUGUAGCAUUUUGGCAAAAUUGUUGGGAGAUUGUCAAGGAGGAUGUCUUGGAUAUGUUCAAAGAAUUCUAUGAUCAGAAUUCGUUCAUCAAGAGCCUAAAUCAUACUUUUCUGGUCUUGAUUCCGAAGAAAGGGGGGGCAGAGGACUUAGGGGACUACAGGCCAAUCAGUUUGCUUGGGGGUCUUUAUAAAUUAUUGGCUAAGGUGCUGGCCAAUAGGCUCAAAAAAAUCAUAGAUAAGGUGAUUUCCCCUGACCAGAACGCCUUCAUAAAAGGGAGACAGAUUCUUGACGGCUCCCUAAUAGCAAAUGAGGUAAUAGAUUCUUGGCAAAAAAGGGGAGAGAAAGGCCUAAUCUGUAAGUUGGACAUUGAGAAGGCGUUUGAUAAUAUCAAUUGGCAGUUUCUUUUAAAGGUUUUGCAUAAGAUGGGCUUCGGAUCAAAAUGGAUAGGAUGGAUGUGGAGCUGUAUUUCUACCAUCAAAUAUUCAAUGUUGGUGAAUGGGGUUCCAGCUGGUUUCUUCUCAAGUUCUAAAGGUCUUAGGCAAGGGGAUCCCCUUUCCCCCUACCUAUUUAUCAUGGGAAUGGAAGUCCUUAGUGUGUUAAUAUCGAGGGCCGUUGAAGGGGGGUUCAUUUAUGGCUGUAGGAUAUGGAAAGGAAGAGGGCAGCCCGUAAACAUAACUCAUCUCCUGUUUGCGGAUGAUACAAUUGUCUUUUGUGAGGCAAAGAAAGAGUCCCUGUUGUACUUGAGCUGGAUCCUAUUAUGGUUCGAGGCCGCCUCAGGUUUAAAAAUUAACUUGGAGAAAAGCAUGGUCAUUCCGGUAGGGGAGGUGGAAGGGGCGCUUGAUAUGGCUGCGGAAAUUGGGUGUAAGGUGGGACAGCUGCCCACUGUUUAUUUGGGGCUGCCCCUUGGGGCGCCUAAUAGGGCCUCCUCCGUUUGGGAUGGGGUGGAGGAGAAAAUGAGGAGGAAGCUUGCUCUUUGGAAGCGUCAUUUUUUGUCCAAAGGAGGGAGAAUUACUCUCAUUAAGAGCACGCUGGCCAGCAUUCCUUUGUAUCAAAUGUCACUUUUCCGCAUGCCUAAAUCAGUGGCAAGAAGACUAGAAAAGCUUCAAAGGAAUUUUUUGUGGGGAGGAGCCAAUGGAGGGAAUAAGGCUCAUCUAAAUCAAGUGGGAGGUUGUAUGUACGGAUAAAAAGAAGGGAGGGUUGGGGUUAAGAAAGUUAAUUUGGUUAAACAAAGCUCUCCUUGGCAAAUGGAUUUGGAGGUUUGCGCGGGCUAAGGAGGAGCUGUGGAAAAAAGUGCUUGAGGCUAAGUAUGGGAAAGAGGAAUUUGGGUGGAGAACAAAGAAGGCAAAUGGGGUGUUUGGGGUUGGUGUGUGGAAGGAAAUUCUGAAGGAGUCCACUUGGUGUUGGGAUAACAUGGUAUUCAAGGUGGGAAAAGGCAAUAAAGUAAGAUUUUGGAUUGAUCCUUGGUGUGGAAACAACGUGCUGUCCGAAGCUUUCCCGGACCUCUUCUCCAUGGCUGUCCAAAGAAGCGCCACUGUGGAGGAUUAUUGGGAUCAGAAUCUGAGUUCAAGGAGGGUGGAGCUUAAGACUAUUGAGGGACUUCAACGAUUGGGAAUUGGGGUUGGUGGACAAUAUGUUAGUUGAGUUGAGGAACUAUAGAGUAUCUAUGGAGGAAGAUUCGGUUUUUUGGAGGGGAGGAGCGGACGGGCUGUUUAAAGUUAAGGAAGCUUAUAGGGUGUUGGUUAAUGCUGAUGAAGCGGCCUUCCCCCAUAGCAAUGUUUGGGUGGCCAAAGUUCCAACAAAAAUUAUUUUCUUUGCUUGGGAAGCUACUUGGGGGAAGGUUCUUACAUUGGAUAGAUUGCAGAGAAGAGGAUGGCACCUUCCUAAUCGGUGCUUCUUGUGUGGAUGUGAAGAGGAAACUAUCAAUCAUAUUCUUAUUCAUUGUACGGUGGCAAAAGGUUUAUGGGAUAUUAUUCUUGCUUUGUGUGGUGUACAGUGGGUCUUUCCUAAUUCUGUAAAGGAGGUUCUUAGUAGUUAGAAAGGCUCUUUUGUGGGGAGAAAAAGAAAGAAAGUGUGGAAGUCCAUCCCGCUUUUCAUUUUUUGGACAAUUUGGAAGGAGAGGAAUAGGCUCGCCUUUAAAGGGGGUGUGUUAGCCUUUCAGAAAUUAAAGACUUCGUUUGUGUAUAAUUUUUGGGGUUGGGCUAAAGUGUACAUUGAUAUGGAGUCGAAUUCCCUUAUAGGUUUCUUGGAGUGGAUAGCUUCCAAGUAGGGGUGGGGUUCUUUUGUUUUUUGGUUAAGGGUUUGUAGCCUUGUAUACUCCCUGUAUGCUCUUUGGCUUUUGCCUUCGUUAAUAUAAUCGCUUACUUAUCAAAAAAAAAUCAAUGGGGAGAUAAUUUUUUCUGUUAUUGAUGGUUAUGAAAAAUGUUGUUAAUUCCACCACUUCCAAGGUAGUGCCCAGAUCCUAAUACCUGGGAACUAAAGCUGAUUAUUGUUUUGUGUUCAUUUUGAAUUUUACUUCAACCAUUUAUUUAUUUUGGGCUUUUAUUGGUGCAGUCGAUCAACCAAGCAAAGGCAGAUGAGUUCAUUCUCAAGAAGAACAUCCUAUCAACAUUUGCUUGAUUGAUCAUUAAUCAUUCGAGAGGAAACACAUUCAUCUUUGCUUGGAGGUAUCUGUAACACAUUUCCCAAGGACCGGUUGCCUAGUAUUUUUCAAGCUUGGGGAAAAUACACUUUCCCUGUGACUCCCUCUACACUUCUUCUACUGCACAUUUUUGGGCCUUUUAAUUUUAUAGUUGUAGAAGAGAAGGAAAGAGCACAUGUGCUAUAGUUAUCAAUGCAUGGAAACUAUUUUAAUUACCUUAACACUCGUCCACAGCAACGAUGCAUGAAAAUUGAGCUACUGAACAAGUUUUUAGUCUUUCUGAAUGAUCUGGUUCCAGCAUGAUAUGCAUGUGUUAUUAGAGUCAAGGUCUUUCCCUCGAUUAAAUAUAGCUCUAAUUUUACCCAACUCUUCUUUCUGUUUUUCCAUAGUGUCAUUUUGGUGAUGCCAAUUUGAUCAGCAGCAUGCUCAUAUGGGAAUGAAUCCAUGGCACCAAAUUGAAGUCUUCCCCUUGGUUUCCAAAUACAAUUAAUGUUGCUUAUGAUCUCACUUACAACCCGAAUUAAGUCACAUGUUUCUUUUGCUCACUUUGCUUCCUUUGGUCACACAUAUGGGUAAAUUUCACUUACUCCAUCGAGGUUCUCCAAGUCUUGAAUUUCGUAUUUCAUGAAAUAUCUCCCUUAUUUUGAAUCAACAGGGAGGUGAAUAAAAUAAACAAAUAAGGAGAGUUGAGGUAUUUGACAGAAUUUUAAAUUAAUACUGGUUAAGAUUAUUGAGCUUAAACCUGGAGAGGUAAGGUGAAAUCAUUCCCAUGUAUAUUUUUCCUUCAUUUGGAGGUGUGAGACCUGUACUCUCAAGUCGUAUGUGGCCUCUAGCUCACUCUUACCUUGUGCAGAGUUGUUCCUUCACAAGAUCACUAACUCAUUCAGGUUUGGGCCUAAAAUUACUGAUUGCACAAUUUUAUUUUGUGAAGCAUGUGUGACAUACAUGGCUCAUUUGGAGUCAGUAUCGACCCUAUUUUUUUUUAAGUUCAUAGAUGCAUUUUUGUGUUUUGUGCUCACAUGGAUUCAUGUCCGGUGGAUUCCCAUGUUUUUAUGAUUUAUUUUUAAUACAUGGAUUCGAUUUGACUUGGAUUAAGUUUUCAUAAUCUGAAUUCAAUUUGAUUUCCCUUAGCUAAGAUAAAGACCGACCUAAAUUUGAUUUUUUUACUUUUUUGUUAUUAUUUUGAAAUGUUGUGUCAUUUAUAAAUUUUAAUUUUAAUAUAAUUAUAUAGAAAGAAAUUUAAAAAACCAUUGCGAAAAGGCUUGACUUAAUCCAACCUUACCAAACUCAAUUUCGUCUCACAAUUAACUUGAGUCUAAACCAAGUUUAGAGAUAUAGGCUUAGGUCAAAUAUCUCUAUUAAAGGUUAGGUUUGAUCAAACAAUACCACAUGCAGUCCACGUAAAGACAAUAUAAGCUCUCAACAUAGAAAAAGGAAUAUAUAAGAAAAUACUUUCGAACUUGUAUUAUUGCAUACACAAUACAAGAAACCAUGGCUUACAUGUUUGGAAAUCCAAACCCAUGCUCUCUGCCACCUGCCUUGGCAGUUUCUUCAGGCUUGCAACUUUUCCUUACAUGUUGGUAAGUUUCCCAAUCACUUUGGCCUUGCUUUAGGUAGAGGUGUCCAAUGGCCCGGCACGAUAUUGACCGGGCCAUUACAGGCCAACGUGCCGGCCCAUGCAAGACUAAUAGGUGGGCCGACAUGACCCAUAAGUCCGCGAGCUAAUCGUGCCGUGCCGAUGGGCCACUCACUUUGUUAAAUAAAUUUCUUAUUAAAUAAAAUUUUCAAUAUUAAAUAAAAAAUUUUUUUGUUACUUUAAACAUCUCUAGUAAUUAUAUUUUUUAUUUUUUAUACAGCUCUAAUAAUUAUACUUUUUAUUUUUUACAUUUAUAUUUAUCGAGUUUGUAAUUGUAAAAUUUAUAGAAAUGUUAGUUUUUUGUUUUUAAAAAUAGUAAAAAAAUUAUAUUUGAAUUUGUUUAUUUUUUAUCAAAAUAAAAAUAAAUUUAAAAUAAUGGAAUAUAAAAUGAAAUGAAAUAUAAAAAAAAUAAUUAUUGUAUUCAAUAUUUCAACAAAUUACAUGAAAAAAUAAGGAGAAAAAAAAAAGGUGAGAAUUGCAUGAGUAUAGUUUGAGUACAUCCCAACUAGAUUGGCACCCGCCCAACUAUCAAUCAUAUGCAUUACUCAACCUUUAAAAAUUAGCUACAAUUAAUAGAUUUAAAAGAAACGAACAACAUAUAAUUUUUCAAUUAUCAUAUUCACUUUUGUCUUCUUAUUCAAUCUUCAUUAUUCUUUUUUCAUCUUCAAUCAUCAUCAAUCUCUUGAACAUCAUUGUCUGCAUUGAGAUGCAAAUCAUGCAAUUUCUUGAAGGCUUCUUUAAGUUUAUCCUCUAAAGUUUGAAGUCCCAUGCGUCCAUCUUCCCAAUCCUUCAAACAUGUCAAAGCUUUUAACAUUUUUGUUGUAAGAGUUGUCCUCAUGUCUCCUAUUAUAUUUGUAGCUAUAGAAAAAGAAGAUUUCGAUGCUAUAGUAGACACCGGUGGGGUUAGUAGAUCACAUGCCAUUUUAGAUAAUACAGGAAAAGUAGAUUCAUGAGAUUUCCACCACUUUAUAAUAUCAAAAUUUUGUACUUCAUUAAGGGAUAGGUAUGAACAAUAAUCAGCAUCUAAAUAUUUUAAAAGAUCACACUUACUUGAAUGACCAACUUGUCGCUUUCCCUUAGCUAAUUGUAUAAAGAAUGAAUCAUUUCCAAAUGUAGAUGGAGUUAUAGUACUUAAAGAGACAUUACCAUAUUUAUUCUCAUAAUAUUUAUAUAAGUUGUUUAAUUGUUCAUAUAUCUCACCCUCUGGUUCGGAUGGUUGGUUCAUACAAAUAGCUAUGAAAUUUAAAAUAUUUUCUAUACCUUCAACCUAAACCCUUGGAUCCAUACAAGCAGCUAAACAAUAAAGUGAUAGAAUAGUCUUCCAAUAUUUCAAAUAAUUUUUUUCCAUUUGUACACAUAUUUCACUAAAAAGGGGAUGUUUCCCUAUAUUUCACGAAACAAAUCACUUAUAUUGCAAAUACAUCUAAGUGUUAUACAAGAUGUAGGAGUAUAUACAGCAGAACACAUGUUAAUAGUAUCAUAAAAAAACCUUCAAGAAUUAAAAAAAAACAAAACCUUUCUCCCAAUCAUCAAAAGUUACUAUAAUUUCACAUGUCUUAUUAUUGACAUAAUUUGAUAGUAUGUUAUGAUACCCUACACAAGAUUCUAACAUUAGAUAGGUAAAAUUCCAACGAUGACCAAUAUCAUGACGAAAUUUUCUCUUCUUCAAACCUACUGAUUCACAUAAAGUAUAAAAUUCUUAUAAUUUGUUAGAUGAAUCAAGAAAUAGUAUAGUAGACCGGAUAGCCUGUAAUGAGGGUGAUAUUAAUUUUAAACCAUCUUGUACUAUUAAAUUAAUUAUAUGACAAAUACAUCUCAAUGAAAUAUUUCACUUAGUGGACCUUCUCUAAUUGUUCUUAUAGGUAAAUUUAUGAGACUUUUAUUAUUUGAAACAUUAUCAAAGGUAAUACUAAAAAUUUUGCUUUGUAUUCCAUAUUAUCUAAAAACACUUGUCCAAGAAUCAUAUAUGGAAGACCCAUCAUGAGGAUGAAAUAUUUUAGGAAAACCUAAUAUUUUCUUUUGUAAUUUCAUAUUUGAAUCUAUAUAAUGUGAUGUCACACAUGUAAAAGGUUUAUUACUUUGAUUAGUCCAUAGAUUUGAGGUCACGGAUACAAUACCAUUAUGAUUUUUAAAUUAUUUAAUUAUUAAUUGUUUUUCAUUUAGGUAACAUUUAAUUACAUCAUUACAAGAAGUAGUCCUAAGAAUUCUAUGAUAAACUGAUUGGACAUACUUUUGCAUGAAAUGUACAAAUCUAGGAUCUUCUCCAAAUGUCAAUGGAAACCCCAUACUAGCUAUCAUUCUGGCUAACCCUUCUCUUAAGAAUUGUUGAUUUUUUCUUCUUGCAUUUUAUCUAUUUAUUAUAGUGAAGUGAUUCUAUACUAUAGAUGUGUGUGUACUAUGAAGAGAAUUGAAAUAGCAUAAGAUCACAUGUUAACAUUUAAGCAUGCAUUUAAUGGCAAAAAAAGAACUGGUUACCUUGGUUUAUGCCAUGGAAAGUCAUUUCUUCCUCCUCUGAUAUCCAAUAAGCUACUCGAAGUGCGUGAUGGUACGAGAAUUAGGGAUCAAUGAGCUCUUCCCUUGUUUCCCCAAAAAUUCAGUCCAAGUGCAAGUGUGUGUGUGCAGUGAUCCCCAAGAGAAGAAAAGGAGAAUCUCUCCAAAUGCACAUACAUCUCAAUAUAUAUAUAUAUAUAUAUAUAUAUAUAUUACACAUUACACACUUUAUUUGGACCACUUGACUUAAUGAGUCAAUCAAUUGAAUUAGGUAUAUAUAUAUAUUACACAUUACACACUUUAUUUGGACCACUUGACUUAAUGAGUCAAUCAAGUGAAUUAGGGUGAGCUCAUAAAAAAUCAAGCAACAAUAUGUGUCCAGUCCCAUUAUGGACCACAAUGCAAAAAUUAAAUUAACACUGAUUUAUGAUAUUAUCAAAAUGAUUAUGUAAGUCCACACAUAAAAAUUCCAACAUACUAGCCCUAGGUCUUUUGCCUAUGGGAUUUGGUUGGGGAAAGUCUCUAGAAGAGAUGGGAGACUCGUCAUCUUCAAAAGGAUUAAAUUCAUUACAUGCAUCAAUAUCAAAGUCAAGGUUUUCUACAUCUAGGUGAUGAGGAUCCAUUUUUAAUUUUAGAGGAAAAAAACAAGGUAAAAGAAAGAAAACAAUUAAAUUAAAUAUAUAGAAUUAAAAUAAAUAAAUGAAAUAACUAAAUAUAAAUAUCUUAACCUUAUGAAUGAUGACCACUUAUAGAGUUGGUAGAUAUCUUUAGCCUUGUAGAGUUAGUAGAUAUCUUUACAAGAAAGAAUUUCAAUUUGGAGAAUUGUGAAAAGAGAAAGUAGAGAGAAUUGUGUGAGAAAUAAUUAAAAUGAAGGAUAUUUAUAGAGAAGUAUUGGUGAGUCAUUUACUAAUUUACCCCUAAAACUAACUGUUAUAUAAUUGUUGAUAGGGGUAUUAUAUAUAUUUGACAUAAAAAUAUUAAUAGUGAAUGAUUUACUUAUUUAUCAUUUAAACUAGCUGUUAUAUAGUUGUUGGAAGGGGCAAUAUAAAUAUUUGUCAUGAAAAAAAAUAAAAAUAGUUAUUGAUUUACUUUUUUAUCCCUCAAACUAGUCGUUAUAUAGUUGUUGAAAGGAAUAUUAUAGACAUUUGACAUAUAAUAAAAAGUAAAAAGUGAAAUUUAAAAGGGUAAAGUGGGCCGCCAGAUUGUUUUUUUAGGCCCAGCAUGACCCGCUCCUUUGGGUCAUGCCGCCCCAGCUUAUUACAGUGUUGGGCUGUGCCGGGCCACGAGCCAAAAUGGGUGGCCCGGCCCAAUGGACACCUUUACCCAUGAUUAAAGUUUUGUCUGAGCCUUGUAGUUAGAAAUUGUUUUGGACCUUUGAACGUUGUUUUCUACGAGAUAUUCCAAACAAGGGUUUAAAAUGUAGGUCCUUGUUAAAUGUUUUUUAAAUUAAUUUUAUGUAUUUUUGGAAUAAUAUAUAUAUAUAUAUAUAUAUGUUUCAUAAUCACAAAAUAGAAAAUAAUUUUUUAUCUUUAAAAAUAGAAAAUUGGAUAUUUUUAGAAAAUAUAUUUAAGUUGUUUUCAUUUAUUUAUUAUAAAUUAUUUUAAAAAAUAAUCAUAUAAAUCCAAGGAUUAAUUUAAAAUAAAAUACUACAUAUAAAAAUUAUUUUUAAAACAAAAACAAGUUAAAAAUAUUUUAGAUUUUUAAAUAGAUUUUUAUUCUAUAAAAGAUCAUAUAACAAUUUUCAAAAAUUAUUUUUAAAAAUUGUUACUAAACACGAAUAAGUAUGCUUUUAUAAAACAAUAAGCAGGUAAAGAUGGAAUAUAUUUUAGAAAUUUAGUGUACUUUUAUAAAGAAUUAAGUGUUGAAAGUUGCAUUUGAUAUUUGAAAAAAGAAAUUAAAAAAAAAAAAACUGUCUUUAAAAAUUAUUAUCAAAAACUCUAUUUUUGAGAACUAUUUUGCCCCAAAUGAAUUUGCAAAAUUAAAGAUUUUUAUAAAAAAAAAAAAAAGGAAAAAAAAAAAGACCAUCUAAAAUAUUUUCAAGGUUUGCAACGUGGGUUUGGGCCUUUGGCCAUAAAACAAAUAUGUCAAGCUGAAAAUUUGAGCAAAUAUAGCAUUGUUCAAUUACAAGAAUGCCCUUUAACGAGCUUUUAAGUUUUAGCUCGCACUGCUGUGCAACAACGGCAGGAAGCAAGAUGAUGACAGUGUGCCACCGCCGAGUGCAGCAACCUUUCAAACCCCGUUCAACCUCCCUCCUCCACUUCCACUCAAUCUCCGCUGUCCGUUCUGCCUCCACCGCAGUUGGCGCCGCCGUGGAUCCCUUCACCGACCACCCAUCGCAUCACCACCUCGCCGCCGUGGACUCUAAGUCCACCCUUCUCAAAUCCUACACCGUCACUCCCCCAAUCAAACCGUGGCCCCAACGCCUCUCCCCCAAACGGGUCGUUUCGAUGAUCAGCCGCCAGCAAAACCUCGACCUCGCCCUCCAAAUCUUCGACCACGCAGGAAAAUUCCACCGCAAUUUCGCCCACAAUUACGAAACCUACCUCGCCAUGAUCGAAAAGCUCUCCAAAGCUCGCGCCUUUGAGCCCAUGGAAACCCUAAUCUCCCAGUUACACAAAUCCCAAAUCAAAUGCGGCGAAAACCUAUUCAUCACCGUCAUUCGCAACUACGGCUUCGCGGGUCGACCCAAGCUCGCAAUCCGAACCUUCCUGCGGAUCCCAAGCUUCGGUCUCCAACCCUCGGUGAGGUCCUUCAACACUCUCUUGAACACCUUGGUUCAGAAUAAACGGUUCGAUUUAGUUCAUUUGAUGUUCAAGAACUGUAGAAAAAAGUUUGGUAUUGUUCCUAACGUGUUUACAUGCAACAUACUUGUGAAAGCCCUCUGCAAGAAGAAUGAUAUCGAUGCGGCAAUUAGGGUUUUAGAGGAAAUGCCUGCAAUGGGGUUUAUCCCAAAUGUGGUUACUUAUACUACAAUUUUAGGUGGGUAUGUUUCAAAAGGCGACAUGGUUGGUGCCAGGAGGGUUUUUGGGGAGAUUUUGGACAGAGGGUGGGUGCCUGAUCCCACAACCUAUACCAUUUUGAUGGAUGGGUAUUGUAAAAAAGGGAGGUUUAUGGAUGCUGUGAAGGUAAUGGACGAAAUGGAGGAGAAUAGGGUUGAACCAAAUGAUGUAACCUAUGGGGUUAUAAUUGAAGCGUAUUGUAAAGAGAAGAAGUCCGGGGAAGUCCUUAAUCUGCUUGAUGAUAUGCUUGAGAAGAAAUAUAUACCGAGUUCGGCUCUUUGUUGUAGGGUCAUUGAUAUGUUGUGUGAAGAGGGGAAGGUUGAGGUUGCUUGUGAGCUGUGGAAGAAGCUCUUGAAGAAGAAUUGCACUCCCGAUAAUGCGAUUACUAGCACGCUUAUACAUUGGCUCUGCAAGGAGGGUAAGGUUUGGGAGGCGAGAAAGCUAUUUGAUGAGUUUGAGAAGGGUUCGAUCCCAAGUACUUUGACGUAUAAUGCACUUAUUGCUGGAAUGUGCGAGGGAGGGGAGUUGCCAGAGGCGGCGAGGUUGUGGGACAACAUGGUGGAGAAGGGGUGUGUUCCUAAUGCUUUUACUUAUAACAUGUUGAUUAAGGGCUUUUGUAAAGUCGGUAAUGCAAGGGAGGGAAUUAGAGUUAUGGAGGAGAUGUUGGAUAACGGGUGUUUGCCGAAUAAGGCGACGUAUGCUAUUUUGCUAGAGGGGCUCUACGAAUUGGGAUUGGAAGGAGAAGUUACAAAUGUUCUUUCAAUGGCAAGCUCAAGAGGAGGAGUUGAUGCUGAAUGUUGGGGUGUUUUUCUCGCCAAGUUUGUUAAUGGUGGCAAUAUCGAUGUUGAGGGAGCUAAAAUUGAUAGAAUAUUAGUUGAGAGUGCUGCUUAGGGAUUCAUCUAUGGGUUUUAACAUAGAGUUAUGGAGGAGAUGUUGGAUAAUGGGUUUUUGUCGAAUAAGUCCAACAUAUUCCAUCUUUACUAGAAGGCCUCUGCGAAUCGGGACUGGAAGCAGAAGUCACAAAUGUUGUUUCAAUGGCAAGUUCAAGAGGAGGAGUUGGUCCUGAUUCUUGGGGUUGUUUUUCUAAGCAAGGUUGUUAGCAAUCUGGAUGUUGGAGGGAGCUAUAAUUGAUAAAAUAUUACUGGAGAGUGCUGGUUGGGGAUUCAUCUAUGGGAUUAUGUUAAGAGCCCAGAUCUUCCUAUAUACUUAUUUUCGGGAAUAGUAGACACAGGAUUGCCAAUAUCCUGUGAAUUGAUGUAAACCCUUUUAGUUUUCAGACUACUAAUAUUGAAAAUUGCCCAAACAGGAUCAGUUGUGAAGUUCUUUUUCUCUGUUGUCAUGGAGAACCAGUCAAGUACUUGUGGUUGGGGGAACAUGUGUGAACUGGGGCUGUGUUCCUUCCAAAACUCUCCUUGCUGUGAGUGGGCGAAUGCGGGAGCUUCAGGAUGAGCAUCACAUGAAGGCUUUUGGUUUACAGGUGAAUAUCCUUAAGAUGAUAAUUUGAAUAAUAUAUCAAGCUUCUUUGCUUCUCAAACUUGGUUUUGAUUCUGAUCAGAUAAACCUCUCAUAGUUCGAGUAGUUUCGAUGAAUUAGAGCUUAGCUUAUAAUUUGUUGAGUCCUUGCUUAAUUUGUUCAUGCACUCUGCUCUUGGGUUGUUACAUUUUGUUCGAAUUUGUAUGCAUCAACUUCAGUCAUGAGAUAUGAUGAUGUUUUGAAGAUUCUGAUGAUAGGUUGCUGCAGCUGGGUAUGAUAGGCAAGGAGUAGCUGAUCAUGCAAAUAAUCUUGCCUCAAAAAUCAGAAGUAACUUGACCAAUUCAUUGAAGGGUCUUGGAGUUGUUAUACUUGAAGGUGUUGGCACAAUUUUGGUACAUUCCAUAUGCUAUCUCUUGAGUUAGUUUAUUUUAAUUUUGUUUUUAAUUAUGCAUUCAUGAGAAUCUAGCCAUUCAGGUUAUUUUGAAGUUAAUAUAAUUUUAUGUUUGCACUGGUUAGAAUUAUGAUUUUACUAUUUAUGGAUUUAUUCAGGGUCCACAAAAGGUGAAAUAUGGAAAAGUUGGCUCCUCUGGCAAUGUAAUAACAGCAAAAGAUAUAAUAAUUGCUACUGGCUCUGUACCUUUCGUCCCUAAGGGAGUUGAAGUUGAUGGUAGGUGCUUAUCCAUUUUCAUCCAUCUAUGGUUGUGACCUUGAAAUUUAAGCUACAAGGUUGAUGUGUGUCAAUUGCAUGAAAGAUCUCUGAGAAAUAACUGUCUACCAAGUUCCUGAUGCUGUGUUUUAGUUAUGAUACCCUUAAUCUGAAAGGAAUUGGUGACUUUGGUGCUUAACUGCAUGAUCUGAUAGAAUAAAGGAGCAUUAGAAUCUCCAGAUGCUCAGUACUAUGAGUGUCUAUGGACAAUAUAAACUGGGGAGAAAAAAUUAGAUAUCCGCAAUGGUUUCUACUUCCUAGUUUCAUUAUGCUUCAAUCUUUUGGCUGAAAACCUUGAAAGUGCCUGUUAUCUUCAUUUUAUUCACUUUUGCAUGGAAAUCUGCUAUUCCCUCAGGAUUACUAAUUUUUUCAGGUAGUGGUCUGCAGGGAAAACUGUAAUAACCAGUGAUCAAGCACUUAAAUUGGAAUUUAUUCCUGAUUGGAUAGCCAUUGUUGGCAGUGGCUACAUUGGUCUUGAGUUUAGUGAUGUAUAUAUGGCACUUGGAAGUGAGGUAGGCACAAUAUUAUCAUAUUAAAGACACUUCAUUAGUAAUUUCAUUUUCAAACUGAAAGCUGUGGAAAAUCUUUAGUUCAUCUAUACUUAUACUCUUAAGUUUUAAGUAGAGUAUACACCUUUUGUUCUUCCUUUUUUGUUAUUCUCUUUCACUUUUUAUUACUUUGACCUCUUUCUACUGACAAUCUCAAAUCUUCUUGUUAUUUCACCACUCCUUCCUGUGUUCAUUUCUUAUAAAGCUUGUUCAUAUGGGAAUGGCGCUUAUGUUUUACCCUGAAAAUGUCAAGAAUAAUCUUUUGAGAAACAUUAGUCAUUGAGGAAAGUUACAAGUAGACCCUGUGCAUAAGGGAAAGAGGAAGAAAAACAAAGGAAAGAAAAUCAUGCCUAAUCCAUCUUCUUCCUUCCAAACCUUAGAACCACCCAAGGACAAGUGACUCCAUGCCUCUGUCUCCAAAGCCACUUCUGCAUCUGCUCUAAUUUCUUACUCAAAGUCCUAAACUCAAUAUGGAGAAGCCUUGUUCCAAUUAUGUGGAAUUGGCUGCAUGAGCCUUCUUCUUUCUGCAUUUUGCUCCAUAUAGGAUCAUAUUUCCUAGUAUUUCUUAGGCCACCAGUCUCUUGUCACUACCUAAUGCUAAGUCUGCAUUGAGCAGAGAUAAACAUUAUAUUUGGUUGAUUUCUGAUAUCAAUGCAUUGGGAUCAGUGUAGGAAUUAGUUUUUGAUUCAUUAAUAUGAAUGUACUAAGCUUAGAAGCCUGAAUUUAGGCAUACCAUUUUAUGUUGGUUCAUUGAGCCCCUCAUUUGACAUCAGCACACACAUAUGCAUGCUUUAACACAGACAGAUUUUAACAAGUUUUGUGUGGAAAAGGUAGGGAAGAAUGAUAUCUUGUAAUGUGUUUUUCUAUUUUCUUCCUAAAGUUUCUCAUGUCUGUUUGAUUUCUCUUUUCUCCUUUUCUACUACUGCAAACGUAUAAAUAUCUCCCACUCAACCAUCACAAAUUCCUCAAAAACUUUCUACUCCCUUUUUGGUGAGUUCUUAAUAUUGGAAAUGUAUUCUCGAAUUAUCAUCUCCACUAGUUUAUUUGGAGAGUGCUAUUUCACAAGGGAAGUAGUUUUUGUACAAAAUGUUCCAUAUAUGGCUGCAGGUGUAUUAGUAAUAUGGUGGUGAUCUGAAAUCCAACCACAGAAAUAAAAGCUUAGCAAAAAAAAAAAAAAUUGUCAGUUUUCCAGUUUGACAGAGAUAUCCACUUUUUGCAGCCUCAAGCAAGGGAAAAAGCUGAAAAGGAGGGAUUUGAAGUAAGUGUUGCCAAGACUAGUUUUAAGGCUAACACAAAGGCCCUAGCCGAAAAUGAAGGGGCGGGGCUUGCUAAGGUGUAUAUAUAACUCCUUUUAUUCCAGUUCUAUUCUCUGGUACAUGAUGGUUUCUUCUUUUUUUUUUUGUUACUGGAAUAGGUGGUAAGUAGUUUUCUCGCCUGUUAAAAACACAAAAGUGUUUUUAUACAGUUGAUAUACAGAGCGGAUAAUUGAGAGAUCCUUGGAAUUCAUAUUUUUGGACUACAUGCUGCAGGCCUUAUACAUGAGGAUCCGAUGCAAUAGCUCUAGGGACACGUAUACAGUUUUUUUUUUUUCUCCUUUUGCUCAUACAAUUUGCAAGACAGUAAUACCAAGUCCUUACAUUUAUGGCAUGAUUCAUUAUGUUUUGACUCGUACCAUUCAAAAUAUAAUGGUUGCUAUUUUCCUUCCAUUCGUCAUCUCUCACAAUCUGUGCACCCUGCAGGACAUAGAGUUUGCUGUUCAUGCACAUCCAACCUUGUCCGAGGUGCUUGACAAACUCUUCAAAUCUGCUAAGGUAAUCUCUUCUUUCCCUCUAUAGACCCCUCUGAUUGACCUGUUAAUUCAUUAUAAAGAUUUAAUAGAUUGGAAAGGGAGAAUAUGUUGUCAUACAUAGCUAGUUUCCUUGCCAGAAAUAUAGGACAGAUCAGGAGCCUAAAUUCAUAUAGCUGACCCAAAACUAGUUGGGAUCAAGGCUUGGUGGAUUGAUUGGUUUAUACUAAUAGAAGAGGUUUGAUCUUGAUUUUGAAAAACAGCAAACAGUAAGAUUCUCAAAAUCAUCUGGCCCCUAAAUUUUUAGUCUGCAAUAUCUAGUAACCCCACCAAAAUGAUCACGAGUUGUGUACAUGUACAAAUUGCAGGUAGGGAGGACAGGCUUCUUUGGUCCUGAAAUGAAAUCCUCUCCCAUUCUGCACUGGUACAUUAGACCACCUAUCCAAACCGAUAAUCAUCUAUCUUUUCAGGUUCUAUGUUUCACUUCCAAUUGGAAGCUGCAUAUCAACUUCUGUGUGCCUUGACCUCAUUCUUCAUUUCUUGUUUCUUUCCCUUAUCUGAUGCAGGUUAAAAUCAACAUCUCUAGUCCAGGUGUGGCACCUGUUACUGUCUAAGUUCUCAACAUAGUAUUACAUUUCGACAACACUCAUUCAAUCAGAGACUCCAAGAAGCUGCCUGUCUUCUUAAGAGGAUCCAUCCACAAAGAAUUAUUACAUCUUGGUUCCAAGUGCUACAAAUUUUCUGAUAAUUGUUUCCUCAUUUUUCGGUUAUUUUCUCUGAUAGAAUUACACUCUAAUGUUAGAGCUCAGGCUGCAGUUCUGUUUGUUCCCUUUUUAUUUUUUCAGAGGACUACUGUUGAGGUUUUGUCAUGGAGAUACAUAGAUACACCCCCCAACGACAAUAGAUGGUAGACAUGAGUUUUUACUCAACUGAAAUCUUUUGGCAACCUUCCUUUUCAGACCAAAGGAGAAAGAAACCCAAAAUGGUGGCCAAUUUUUCCCCUUUUUUCUUUUUAUUCUUAAGCUAUGGGAUUGUAUUUUGUGAGGUUUUAUCAAUAAGAAUUUUAAUUAAAUAAAAAUCUUCUUUUCUUACUGUGUUCGAGGAAAAACAUUAGUCUCCUUUUUUUUCUGAACCCCAAUAAAUCACAUUGAGAGAUGUGGAACCCAUGAUU
rnacentral:lncRNA from 1 species